CGGUUGUCACGGGCUCGAUGGGGAGUUCCGGGUCGUGACAGAUUAAAUACAUAUGACCAUUAGUUGAUUGGAAAUAAGAGAAUAUAGUUGAGAAUUAAUAGCAUUCUAGAAAUAAAAAAGUGAUAGAAAAUUGAGAUUUAUUAGGCACAUAAUUAGAAAAGUGAGAGAAUAAAUAAUUUUAUUAAUUAUUUUUUACUUUUAUAUUUUUUUAAUUUUUAUAUAUUUUUAAUAUAAUUAAUUAUAUUGUAAUUAUUAUAAAAUUAUAAAUACUCCCUAAAUUUGGGGCCUCUCCAAAUUGGGGGCUGAAAGCGCUUGCUUGGGUGGCUUCACCCAAGGGCCGAGUCUGCGGUACAUAUGAAAAUGGAGGAAUAUUUUUGUUUUUUAAGGUAAGUGGAUCUCAAUGGAGGGGCAACUAAAUGCAAUCCUAAGCUUUGCGUAUUCGUAAACAAUUCCUGUUAUUUAUAUGUGGAUUUUGGAUUAAAUGUGAUCAAGAAAGAAAGAUUCUGGUAAUAUAGACAGCUCUUCCACUAGGCUGGUUGCCAUUGAAUUCAGAUGGCACGUUUAGAAGGCCAGUGAGGUUGUUUACUGCAGGUGGGGCGAUUCAAGAUUCUAAUGAGGAAUGGUUCAAUGGUUUUACCAUUAGCCUUGGAAGAUGCACAUCAUAUCGAGCUAAGUUAUAGGGUGUCUAUAGAGGACUUUGUUUUGCUUAGGAGUUGGGCUUUCCAAAAAUUGAUUUACAAGUCGAUAGUAAGUUAGUUGUGCAAGCCAUUACUUCUUCUAAGAUUAUCCUUGCUCUAAUUUGGACUUAAUCCAAAUCAUUCAUCAACUUCUUCAGAGGCAAUAAGAAGUUAAUAUGCGACACAUUUUUAAAAAAGGUAAUAUGAUAACCAAUUGUAUAGCUAAUAAAAGUUUUGACGUAGAUAAUGAUUAUGUUUUUUAUGAUGUUCCUCCAGUAGAUACUAGGAAGUUAUUAUUGAACAUAUGUAAGGGAUUUGUUUUUCUCAUCUGAUUAGAGUUUAAUGAAUCUUUUCUUCCUUAAAUUUUUUUUAUUUACAAAUUGAUAAAUCUUAUUAAUAUUUGUAAUAAAAAAUUGAAUUUUAAUUUUUGUGUGAUACUGUUACCUAUAAUUGUAAAUAUUAUUUAUAUAAUAAUUGAGAAUUAUUUAAAAUGAUAAAUUAUAAUUUAGAAAUAUAAUAAGUAAAAAUAUCCGUAUUUGUGAAAAAACAAUUUUUUCAAACAUUUAUACUUUUAUAGAUAAUUAUGAAUAAUAUUGAUUUUCGUGAACUAAAAGGUUUACUAGAUAAAAUGUGAAGUAUGGAUAUACAUGAUUGAAUAGUAACUUUCCAAAAAAAACAGAAAGAGCAAGCCAUGAAAUCCAAUGAAGGCUAAUUUUUAAUUGAACAAAAAAGGUUGGUAAAAAGUUGGAAAGGGUAUUUGAUGACAGCACGUUAGGCCAAUGAUUAAAUGAAGGGUUUUUGUGAGCUUUUGGAAUUAAAAAGAGAGGCUGAAAAAGCUAGUAAUCCCGCUUUAUUCCCAGGCGUGGUAAAAAAGCUCCUGUUCUGUUCCAACCCAUCAUCAAACACAAUCAUGGAGGUCAUGUAUCUCACAGCACCCCUUUUUCGCUUUUAUGGGCUCUACUCCUACCGCUAUCAUUGCCCUUGCCACCUCAUUUAACCGCUUUCUCUAUCCUUGUUUUUCACCUUUCAACACAAGCCAUACUGCCCCUCUCCUUCCAUCUACCUUUGAGCUCUGGCCCUUUAGCGUUAGGGUUAGGGUUCAGCCUGUUGGCUUGCAGGCAAAGCUACGUAACCCAUAUUUUUUUCUAGGUUUGCAACUUUUUGGUCAUAAUUUGUUUUGACUUUAAUCUUGGAAUCUUGAAUUUUCCAGGUCUGUUGGGUGGUGCUAUCAAGAAGGCUGAUAGCUGCUUUCAAGGCUUUUGGUGCUUUGUUUCAUCUUGACCAAGUCUCCACCUAAUUCCGCCCAUUGGAAGCAAAUUCCUAAUCCAAGAUUCUUUGCAAUUUUGUCAAAAAGACAGCAUUUAAAAUAUUGGGAUUGGAGGAGAAACGAGGGGCUAGCAUUUGCAUUACGCAAAGGGUUAAUUACAUGGCAGGCGGUGUUUGGGCCAAGGUUCAACAAAAAGUCAGUUAUGGAUUCUGUGAAGGAGUUCGAAGUUGAUAACAAACACUUGAAGCUGAAUAUAUAUAUAUAUAUAUAUAUAUAUAUAUAUAGCAAUCAACUUUCCCAAGCACUUAAUUGUUUUUCAGCAACCAACCCAUGAUGAAACGGAGGAAUAACAUCAAUUCAUGGGGGGUCUAAUUGUUUGACCACUUCAAUCUCACUAAUUGCAGCAACUUGCAACUUGCAACCAAACCAAAUACUAGUAUUCCUCCUAUCUUCCAAAUAAGAUAUGUUACCUAAUAACAUUAAAUAUAAGAAUUGCUUAAUCAAAACAAUACUACUACAAGACCAACAGAUACUUAUUCAAAUGAUUACUGUUUGAUUUUAUUGUAAUUAUCUUGAAUAUAUCAUGAGAAACAAAAUUUAUUAUGAUUAGAUAGGAUCCCAAAUCCUACUUAAGGUCAGGGGUAUAUGGAAAAAAAAAAUCCUUGUAGGCCAUCUGUUGCAAAUGAGAUUAUGACAAACUUCAUUGUGCAUUAAUUAAUUACUAAAUCACCAACACUAUGUAUUCCAAAAUUAGGAACUUGCUGUACUAAGUCUGGUGUCAAAUGCAUUGACUAGCAGCUCCAUGGAAAUGGAAGAGGACGGCAGUCACAGUAAUGGAAUGAAAUUUGUUACUUAGCUUCUAGAUGGAAUGGCCCUUCUAGAUGGAAUGGCCCCUUUCUAUUCAAAUUGGUAAACCACUUUCAACAACUUGAAAAGAUGGACGGCUGUGAUUAAUGCAAUCACUCUGGACAAAACACAUAUGUACAUCGAAUUAAUUACAAUGAUGAUGACGAUGAUCCAUAUGUUAAAAAUAUAAAUAUGAGCUGCAAUAUUAUAUUUACAGAUUUUAAAUAGUAUUUUUUUUAUAAUUACCAGAUAUUAUAAUAUUAUAUAAUCAUGUUAUUGUAAGGCAUCUGAACCUUUCUUAAUUGGAAAUUUCAAGUAGAGGUCAGUUUAGUAAAAUUACCUUAGUAAUCUCUUUCUCUCACAGCUCCGCAAAUCAUUUCCUCCAAAUUCCUCACUGAUUACCCCAUUAGUCACGUUAAUAAUUAACAGUUAAAUAAUCAUAUCCAAUCAUCUAAAUUCUAAUAAUAAUAAUACUAAAAAACAUAGGAACACUAUUAAAAAAGAAAGAAAUUUUCAAAACACCCAGUUUUUCUCAACUGACCCCGCGUUUUCUUCCUUCUCCUCCCUCCCUUCCCCGUCGCCACCUCUCCACCAAACCCGAAACGCCGCCGUCUUUUUUCUUUUUUUUUUUUAAUUCUUUCUGUUAUGGGAAACUGUAACGCAUGCGUUAGACCGGACGACAGCCCGGAAAGUAAACCGAACCGGUCCGAACACAGCCAGAGAGGUAAGAAAAAAACCCGGGAAAGGAAACCGAACCCAUACGCCGAGAAAGUCCCCUCGCCGGCUCCGAUCCGAGUUCUAAAAGACGUGAUUCCACUGAGUCACCGAACUCGAAUAGGCGACAAGUAUAUCCUCGGACGCGAACUCGGCCGAGGGGAGUUCGGAAUCACCUACCUCUGCACGGACAGGGAAACUCGCGAAGCGCUCGCGUGCAAGUCAAUCUCCAAGAGGAAACUCCGAACAGCCGUCGACAUCGAAGACGUCCGACGCGAGGUUGCCAUAAUGUCAACGUUGCCGGAACAUCCGAAUAUUGUGAAGUUGAAAGCGACAUACGAGGACAACGAAAAUGUCCAUUUGGUUAUGGAGCUUUGUGAAGGAGGGGAAUUGUUUGAUAGGAUAGUAGCGAGAGGGCAUUACACCGAGCGCGCGGCGGCGAACGUGGCGAAGACGAUAGCGGAGGUGGUUAGGAUGUGUCACGAGAACGGGGUUAUGCAUAGAGAUUUGAAGCCGGAGAAUUUUUUAUUUGCGAAUAAGAAAGAACACGCGCCGCUUAAAGCCAUUGACUUUGGCUUGUCUGUGUUUUUUAAGCCUGGUAAGUAGGAAGAUUUUAAUUUUUUUCCCUUUUUUUUUUUCAGGAUUUAUGUGGGUUUUUUAUGGUUUGGCUUGUAAAUUUUGGAUUUUUUUAUUUUUUAAAAAUUGGGCUGUUAGAAUUUUUCUUUUUAGUUUUUAUUUUCACUUUUCCAGUUUCUGGUUAAAGAAGGGUUUUUGAAUUCAUUUUUUAUUUUGCUUCUUAGAUAUUUGUUUAGGCGUUGAAUCCUGAGUUUGGGUUUCGUGAGAUUUGUUUAUGGUUUGUAGCUUGAUUGCAGGAUUGAUAUUUCUAAUUUUGGAUUUAUUUUUGUAGGGGAGAGGUUUUCAGAGAUUGUGGGGAGUCCAUACUAUAUGGCUCCUGAGGUUUUGAAACGAAAUUAUGGACCGGAGGUUGAUGUGUGGAGUGCUGGAGUGAUCCUUUACAUUUUGUUAUGCGGGGUUCCUCCCUUUUGGGCAGGUAUUCCUUUUCUUACUUUGUGUUUUUUUAUGGUUGUACAGUGGCAGUGACCACCCUCAUCAAGCUUUUGCAUUAAAAUGUUUUCUUCUUUUGAAUUCUGAUUUCGAUUUUCGUGUUGCUUUUUUCAGAGACUGAACAAGGUGUUGCUCUUGCAAUUUUGAGAGGGGUCAUUGAUUUUAAGAGGGAACCUUGGCCUCAGGUUUCAGAGAGCGCCAAGAGUCUUGUUAGACAGAUGUUAGAACCAGAUCCUAAGAAGCGGUUGACUGCCCAACAGGUGCUUGGUAAGUCCUCCAGUAGUUCUUGAGAUGCUGGAUUUUCUGUCAGUACAACCGUAUUUUCGUAUUUAGCUAAAAGUAUUCAGAUAGCAUUUUGAGUUUCCUGGGGUGCUUGCUGCCUCAGUAUUAGGAAUUAUUAUUGUUUUAAAGAUUGAAGUCAGGUUAAAUCGUGGGAUUCAAUAUGAAUAACAAGAAAAUCGGAUUAACGAUCACUACUUCAUAUUUAACUUUAAUCAAGAGCAACUGAGAAAUUUCUGAAAUUAAUAAUUCACUGGAUUGAGUUUUAUUGGAUUUUUAGUAAACAUGCGUGUAAGAUCAUUUUGUCAUUCAUUCUAAUACUGGAAUGGCUGAAUAUUACCAGAGGCUAGACUUAAAAAAAGUUGUAGUUUCUUUUAUUGCUUGUAUUCUUGAAUUGGGAAAACUCUUGAGUCAAACUGUCUUUCUGCUGCUUUCUUUCAGGCUAUUUGUUUUGAUCAAUCUCUAAUCUUCCUCAAGUCUGUGGCUAUCCUAAGUUUAUGUUUUUAUAUGAGGUACCCCAUGGUUAAAGGUUCUUGCUUGGAUGGUAAUUCACCAGUAGGUUAAAGUCAAAUACAUGCUUCCUGAAGAAAUAUGGGAGCUUUUUUCGCCUCCUGUCUUGCCAAUACCUGUCUGAGAAGUGCUAAAUCUUGGUCAUUUGCUUCAAUUUUUUAGGUUUUAUUUUUGACCAGUCCAGUUAGAUAUUUUCUGCUCAAAUUUUUCCCCUUUCCAAGUCUGGACCAUAUUAGGGAGUUCUGGUAGUAGUUGUCUCCAACUUUAGCUUAGUUUUGCCUAAUGUUCUUUACAACCUGCACAAUUCUUAAAGCAUGUGUAAUCUUGAAACAACAAAUCCCUUCCAUAAUGAUUUCAAGCAGCAUGCUCACUUUAUACUAUGCUGCAGAGCAGUUGGAUACACGGUAUUUGGCAUCUGAUAAUGAAUUAUACAUUGUUUUUUUGGUCAAAUGCUGAUUGUGGCAAAUGUUGACAUAUGUAUGCAUGCAUUUAUCUAGUCUACAUGUUAAUAAACUUUAUUUUGAAGUGAUCAAGGAAAUUUAUCAUGAAGUGAGCAUUGGGGGGCAAUAUCAUUCAUAUAGAUGAGGUACUUAGUGGGGAAAGGCUUAGUUUGUUGUUGUUGUUGAAGAAAGAAAUUCAACCUUUCAAAUAACAUCUGACAUAGGAAUAAGCAAAAUUCAUUAGAUGCUUACUUGCACAGUAAUAUUUCACCUUUUAAUAUUUCUAUCACCAGAAAUCAUUUAUUUUAAUAGGUAAUAUAUUAGCAUUGCUAGUUUUUUGAAAUCCUCACAGGAUCCUGUUUCUGACUUUCCUUUUUUAAAGUAGUUGUGUUGAUUUUCACUUAUUAAUAUCUUCCUUCUUUUUCCUUUCUCUUGGGCACAGAACAUUCCUGGUUGCAAAAUGCAAAGAAAGCUCCAAAUGUUCCAUUGGGAGAUAUUGUGAGAACAAGGCUCAAGCAGUUCUCUGUGAUGAAUAGAUUCAAAAAGAAGGCCUUGCGGGUAAGGGUUUUUAGUUGGAUUAUGUGAAAUUGUUUGUUCAGGACCAAAAAUCAUUGCACCACCAUGCAAUUCGCAAGUAUCUGCUGGAUGAUUCAAUUUUGCAAAUGCUGCAGGUAAUUGCAGAGCACUUAUCUGUAGAAGAGGUUGAAGUAAUCAGAGAUAUGUUCACAUUGAUGGAUACCGACAAUGAUGGGAAAGUUUCAUAUGAGGAGCUGAAGGCCGGGCUUCGAAAGGUUGGUUCACAAUUAGCUGAACCAGAGAUCAAGAUGUUGAUGGAAGUGGUAUGGGUCAAUUCUUGCUUACAUCGAAUCUGAAGUUUCAUUUUUAACUUUGAGUUAAGUGCACUCGUUUUGCUUGCAUGUGACUUUUAUCUUGCUUGAGCCCAUUUAUGUUACUUUCAAGUUCUCUGUUCUGCUACAUGCUUCCUCUAUGUAGCAUGCUGCAAUUUGUGCUGAACAUCCUCUACUAAAUAUAUAUUUUUUCUGUGGCUUAAAUAUAAAGUUGUCAAAUUGAUCAUAUUAGCAUGCUAAUCGAGCAAAUGGUAAUUGUGAUUCUACUUUUUGCAUGUACGUCUUAGUGCCUUUGUAGUAUGAUCAUUCACUCAGUUUCAUUAUGAGAUUGCCAUCAUAGCUUUACUUUAUAUCAAUUUAUUACUUUAUAUCAAUUUAUUUACUUAUUGUCAAGUUAUUUUUUAUUUAAGGGAUUUCACAUUAUGCACUAUUGAUUGUGUAUUUCAAUAAUUAAUUGUUGGAAUUAUUAGGAAAGUUAUACUGUCAAUGGUCCUUGGCUCCUUCUAGAAGCUGUAGUUUUAUUUCUUGCAUGAACCAAAAAAUCAGCUCAGCUCCCUCCCCUGUCUUUUUGUUCUUGAAGAACCAUUCCUUAAAUCAUCUAUUGCUGAAAUUUCAAAUAAAAAUCAUCUAUUGCUGAAUAAUUUACCAUCUUUAACAAUUAUAUUAUUAAAUUUUUAUCGCAAGCACUACCUCUGAAACCAAAAAUUUUGUAAUUCCUUUUGGCCAAUGAUGUUGACCUCUAUUUAGACAUUCAUGGACUGGUUUUAUGUCUCAGAAGCUACAUCCUCUGUGAAGUUAAGAAAUGGGAUUACCUAACGGAUGUAUUGCAUAUCUACGAUGAUUCGUAGAAUUUAUUUUCUUGCAUAUUUUUUGAGAAAGAUUUACAUAUUUACUUGUUUGCAAUGCUUCUUAUUUAUUGGUUUUGAAACUUUUCUUAAAGCCAUUGUUGGGCUAACAAUAGGCUUUAGAAAUAUUGUUUUCCUUCAUUAUUAUGUUUGGAGAGCCAAGCCUAGAGAGUAAGCUUAUGUACAUGAUAUCAUGAAUUCCUAAUUGAGCUAUUGCAAAUUCAGUAAAAGCAACUUUUAUCAGAGUUUUUAUUUUUGGUUGCCAUGUCAUAUAUGAUCUAGAGAAACAUGCACCAUUGCAGUAGAACUUGAGAGGUUUUCAAUAACAUAUGUCAACUUAACUUUAGUAUUAAUCACUAAACUGGAUAAUUGUAGUUCUGUCUACACUGUGUUUCACACGUGUAAAUUUUUUUUUUUGGAUAGUUUCACAUGUUUAGUUAACCGAAAGAUCACAACUUAACAUGAUACAUUAUUAAACUUGAUUACAUGUUUUUUCUAUAAUCUCUGUGUUGAUCCAAUAUUUAUUUGUAAUAGGCUGAUGUUGAUGGAAACGGGGUACUAGACUAUGGAGAAUUUGUAGCAGUGACAAUUCACUUGCAGAAGAUGGAGAAUGAUGAGCAUUUCCGCAGAGCAUUUAUGUUCUUUGACAAAGAUGGGAGUGGAUAUAUUGAACUGGAUGAGUUACAGGAAGCCUUAGCUGAUGAAUCAGGUGAAGCUGAUGUUGAUGUGCUGAAUGACAUCAUGCGUGAAGUUGACACUGACAAGGUUUGACUUCCUAGCCAAACUAACUCGUAUUGUUUCCUAUGUUCAGGAUGACUCCUAUUUUGCGACAAUUUUCUUUUUCAUAAAUAUCACUUUCAUGGUGCUUAAUUGAAACAGAAAUAUAAAAUCUGAGUAAUUAUUACUUUAGAAAUGUGUCAAAAUAGAUUCUGUUAAAAAAGGUUCAAAUUUCACUGCAAUUGGGACUAGAUGUUGAGGAUUGUUAAUUUUCACUAAAAUUACUAGUCCCCUCUCUCUGUCAUAUAUUUUCUUCUGUAAGUUUGCAUUUUCACCAUAUUAGAUCAGUUAUCUCAUUUUUUUGUCCUUGUCCACAUUUAUUCAGGAUGGUUGUAUCAGUUAUGAUGAAUUUGUUGCCAUGAUGAAAGCUGGCACUGAUUGGAGAAAGGCAUCAAGGCAGUAUUCAAGAGAGAGGUUCAAGAGCUUGAGUCUUAACCUGAUGAAAGAUGGUUCUUUGCAGCUCCACGAUGCAGUUACUGGCCAAGCUGUUGCUGUUUGAGCUAUAUAUGGGAUCUAUGACUUUGUUAUGCUUGUGCCUGCUGGAUGUUUCUCUCACCCUUUUGUUGUCGAUAAAUGAUUGUAUAUCUGGAAAACUAGCAGACGGGUGAGUGGCAUUUAGGUUUAACAAUGAGCUCUUGGAGGCAGACAGAAUAUUCUUUGAUAACAUGUUGACAUGGCCGGCUUUGGUUGGUGUUUUGCUGCAUGGAAGUGUGGAUUAAUCCAUUAGAGUGGUUAGCAGAUGGUAGCAAGUGAAUGCAUGUCCAUGUAUAUUUGUUCAUGUCAUGUUGUUUGAUGAUUUACUUGGUAUUAUUUUAUUUCCAUUUGUGCAGAAUCUAGUAUAGGGUUGUUUAUAAGCAAUGUGAGUCCUUGGAAAAAUAUUCCCAAUGUUGGUUAUCCCAUCCAUUUGUGGUCUAAUUUUCUCAUGUAAAAGCUCCUAUUGUUUGUUGGAAAAGGAAAAUGAGAGAGACAGAAGAAAGGGUUGUUACUUAUUGAUGUUGUGAUCAAGAUUUAUCACUGAAAUGUAGGUAGGAUGAGACCAACAACCCAUUUAGUGGUUGCCUUCAGAAACCAUAUCUAAUUUAAACUUAAAUAUUGAGAUAAAUUAAAAGGAGAAAGGAUAAUUUUACUUUUAAAUCUCAUCCACUUACCAUUAGAUUAAAUAUGGUUUGUAAAUCUUUCAAUAUGGUCAAUCUAUUAUGUCAAUUUUUUUAGUUUUUAUCCUUCCAACCUGCUAUAAUUAUCUUCUAAAACGACUUAAACUGAUUUGAAAGUUUAUCUGAUUGAUUUAAACAUUCCCAUUUUUUCUCUUUUUUUAUUAUUUACAUCAAAACAAUGUUAUCUCUCCAAUUUUUUUUUUGUCACAUGUUUUCUUUAUUCUAUUAAAUUUCACAACUAAAUUUCCUCAAAAAAAAAAAAAAAAAAAAACAUGUCUCACGCGCUAUACUAACUAUUUGGUAUCCUUGUUAAGAUCACCAUGGUGAUCUAAAUACAUUUUGAUCUUGGUAUGUAAAAAUACAAAUGCAAAUAGACACCCUUGAUAACUCUCUCUCUCACUCUCUCGUGCACACACACACACAGAUAUAUAUAUAUAUAUAUAUAUAAUUGAUAAAAAAAUUAAUUUUUUAUAUAAAUUCAAACAUACAAUGAACAAUAUUGUUGUAGAAAAAAAAAUGAAUUUGUUGAAAUAAAAAUUUACACCGACUCAAAGUUGCUUCAUUUUGUUAUAUCUUUCUCAUUCACAAAAGUAUCAAUAUACCUUUUAUGUUUAUUUUGAUUAAUUAAAGAUAAGUUAAUUUAUUUAAAAAGAUCUAUAAAUUUAUAGGUUAGAAAUAUAAGAGUAACUCAAUCUCAUGCAUAUACUUUUUGGUGGAAUUUAAAAAAUAUCUUAGUAGAUCUUAUUUAUAUCAAAUGUUAAAGUUUUUACAUGAAAACUAUGAUCUUUUCACCUUUGUAAGAAAAAAUUCAACAAAGAAAAAUUUGGGUUAUUAUUACACACAUUUGUUGAAGAUCUUGAAGAUCAAUUUUCGUACACAAUAAUAUUAAAAAAUUCUUUAUAUAAUUUCACGUGCAUUAUUAAGUAAUUUACACUUAUUACUCAUAAUCACAUAUUUAUAUGUAUUUCUAUAUGUUAAAUGAAGAUAAAAACCAUUUACUAUAUGAAAGUUAGUUUAGAUUCCCUUUAUUACCCGCUCUCCCACAUGUUUAUUGCAUUGUUGAUUACUUAAAAAAAAAAGAAAUUUAAGCAUAUUCACUAUCAAUGUUCAUAAUAUUCACUAAUAUAUGCUAUUUUAUGAACGUUAAUUACAAUUGAAAGUAGAUUAAUUGAGUUUUCUCUAUCAAAGUUCAAGUGACAUCUUUCCAAGUUUGGACAAUUUUUCUCCCAAAUAGUCUAGCCCAUCAAUAAUUGAGAGCUUUUUCCUUUUUGGGUACGAUAUAGUUGAUGUAUGAGCUACAGUGUUAUACCAAAGGACUUAACAAUUUAAAGGCUAAUUAAUUGCAAACUAAAUUAGCCAUAACUUAUGCAAAGAAAUUAGAAUGGGUUCUUUUUAAUUAUAAUUUUCAACAUUUUUAUAUUUUUGAUUUGGAAAGUUCAUACUCUAUAUUCAGGAUUUAAAAUAUUCUAUUAGGAGUGUAUUCUUCUAGCAAGAUAUAAUAUAUUAAAAGGGUUUAUAUUUGAUAUUCUGAUAAUGUAUAGCUUCUAUAUUGUGAUACUUUCAAUUUUUAUGUAAUGGUAAAACGUAAACCUACUUGGUGAGUUUAGGAGAAUCUAUGAACAUGACACUAGUAGCGAGAUUUUCUUGGAAACCCAAUGUUUUUUUAAAAAGGUUUUAAGCUAAAUGAGACAAGGGAGGAAAGAUAUAGUCAAAAGAAUGAAUUUUUGCCAAGAAAAUUAUGUUCUGUUGUAAAAGUAUCGAUACCUUAAGAAUAGGUAUCAAUACUUAAGAAGAUAGAAUACCUUGGAAAGUAUUCUAUGUAAAAAGUAUCGAUACUUAAAGAGGAAGUAUCAAUACUUAUUGAUACCUCAAAGGGAUGUAUCAAUACUUAAUGGUCAAAUGCUUUAGAAAAAGCAUGCCUGAUGAAAAGUAUCAAUACUUAUAAAAAAGAAUGAAUACUUGAGGUGAAAAGUACAAAAAUAAAACCCCCUCGGGCUAAAUGCCCAUUUGUUUUUCGUUUCUCAUAGUGUACCUCUCUUCCUUCCCUCUCCCAAGUCUUUCUUAUAACCAUCCAAGAGUAACUUAAACUCAAGUUUUAAAUUGAUUAAGGUAAGGUUUGCAACCUUGCGAACACUUUUAUCGAUUGGUUUUUGAAUUAACUUUUCUCAUUAAGAGAAUUUUUAUUUUUCUCUUAGUUGUGAGGAUUUUCAAAUUGGUUUUCCUAAUGUGUGCUCACCAAGGUAAGUGAAAGCAAGCAUUAAGUAUAUGGUAAUAUGAACUAUGGGUUAUAGAAACUUCUGAGCUAAACUAGAGUUUGAGAAAUAAAUGUUUUUGUUGAUUACAUGUGUUGAUUGGUUUAGGUUCCAUUAGGCUCCCAAGUUUAAUAGCUAGAAGAGCUUGGGUAGGUAACUUUGCAUUAUGUUGGUGGCAUAUAAGUUGGGUGGACUUGCAUUGAAAAAUGUUAUACUAUGAAAAGCAUGACAAAAUAUGUGUUUGAAAUGAAUGUGCUUAGAAAAUUGUUUUUGUUAUGGUUUAACCAUCGAGGAUAGGCACAUGUGUAUGUAUAUAUGUUCUCAUAUAAUGAACUUGCAUGGAAACAAGCUUUUCAAAUGGCGUAGUACGUUAAUGAUAUAUCAAGUUGUGUAUGGUUGUGUUUUCAAAGGUAAAUUCUUGAUGUUUUAUAAAGUUAUGUGAUGUUGAACAUUUUAAGGAUUUGUAAAAUGUUAUGUGGUGAUGGCAAUGAAACUUUGUGAGUUGUGGACUCCUUAAUGGAGGGAUUCGAAAUGAUAUGUAUGUACUGAGUGGCAUGGUAGUAAAGCUACAUGCCUAAUGAUUUUUUAUUAUGAGAACCGUGUAAAGGACUUUAUAAUGGCUUACAUGAGAUAAAUGCUUUUAGUGGAGUAGCUUAAGUGAAGGACUUUUCCUAGUUACGACAUCACUAGACAUUGUACGUAAUAAGAUCAUCCUAGCUAGCCUUGUACCCGAAGGAUUGCACAAGCAUUUAUGAGGUCAUUGACGAAAUGGCACUAGACCGUAUCAUGAGGGUUAGCUACCUAAAUAUCAUCCUUGAUAGUUGGGAGUGAAAUACACUAUUCGUUGGCUUAAGGUCCACGAGACCAAGUUUACACAUAGUGCUUCACUAGUAUGUUCCACCUAGCUACAUUUGAUGAGUUAUGUAAUAAUGUUGUCAUGAUUUUGAUUUAAAUGACAAAGUAAGUUUUCAAAGGGAAUAGUGUGGAAUAAAAAUGUUUUGAAAAAUGCUUUAUGAUUAAAUGUAUAUGGUUGUUGUUAAGAAUUUGGGAGAAAUGUUUAAGUACUUCAAAACUGUAGAAUAUGAAGGAAGAAUUGAUGCUUUUGAAUAAGGUAUCAAUAUUGUUGGUCUCAAUAAUAUGUGCUAGAGGGGGGUGAAUAGCACAAUUUGGCUCUUUCAAAAAUUAGCUCUAAGUUGGAACAAAUGCAAGUGAAAAGAAAGAAUGAAAAUAAGAACAAAAACAGAGUAGAUAACAUAACAGAAUUUAGAGUGGUUCGGUCCAAGACCUACUUCCACUACCUUGAUUAUCCAACCAAGGAUUUUCCAAACAAUCCACUAGGAACUAGUGAAAUUCAUAAGCUUUCACCAAGCUUUACAAUGGCUUUUACGAGGCUCAGCCAAAACCUUUUACACUAGUUUUUCCCGGGCUCAACUAUAACCCAACACCUAACUUUUAAAGGCUAAGUUAGAACCUUAACACUUUCAAGCAAACGUAGCUUGAAACAACCACUUAGAGUGACUCCCUCUCUUUAAGAAUACAAGAGAAGAGGUAAAAGAAAGUACCUAUGAUCAGAAGUUGAUCUAAAUGGUACAAGGUUGAGUGCAGAAUACAAAUACAAGAGAUGGGUGUUUAAGUGCAGCAAGGUGUAGAGAAGAUUUUCUAGUUUUUUAACUCUAUAUGGCUCAAAUCUCCUCCAAAACUUCUAAAAACUAGUUUCUAACUAUUGAGAGACCCUUUUAUACUUGGAGAAACAUCUAUGAUGGGAGUUUGACAGUUUUCUAGCAGUUGGAGACAAUUGAGAGUCGGUUCUAGCUGUUACUCUGUCUUUUAGUGCAGAUUUCAAACUUGCAGGGAGAUUGCUCUUAGUCGACUAAGUCGUCUUUGUUUUCUGCUCCCUGUAUCUGGUAGUUAUGGCAAUGUGCACUUAGUCGACUAACCCAUUUCUUGGUCAACUAAGUUGGUUUUGUCUUGAAGUUUAGAUUUUGGCAGUAGCUUUUUAGUUGACUAACUCACAUCUUGGUCGACUAAGUUGCUUAUGUUUCUCAGUAUUCUUCAACCUGCCAUUUCUUCAAUUUAAAUUUUAGUCAACCAACAUUCUUCAUUAUUUAACCAAAGUCCUUUCUUUUUGUUGAUCAAUCGUUUUUCUUCAUUUUCAUGAUUUUUGAUAUACACAUAUGAAAGAUUGAUUUAUUAUUUCCAUAUGACUUUUUGUCCUGCACACUUAAAUAGAAAUGUUUGACACAAAUGAAAUGGGAAUGUUUUGUUAUCAUCAAAAACUAAUGGAGCUAACAAUCUCCCCCUUUUUGAUUAUGGCAAAACAUUCCUUGGUUAACAGCACAAUGUCCUUUAUUCUUUUUAAUUUCAGCAAAAAGUAAGGAUUGCUCCCCCUAAGUGUGUGCUCCCCCUUAAUGUAUGCAUAUUUAGCUUAUUCAUUUCAGCAGAUUUCAUUCAUGUCAUAUAGAAAAUGACAUCGUUCAUUCAGAGUAUAUAUAUAUGCAGAUCUUUACGAUAAUUUGCAGUAGAUGAAUGUUGACAGUUUCUCAUCAAAAUUUUAGUAGUGUCUGUCAUUAACAUACUAUUACCAGAUUUUGUCUAUACCAUUCAACAAUCAUCAGAUACACUAUACUUAGCAUCCAUAUCCAUUAACAAACAUAAUUUACAGUAAAGAUCGGUAAUCAGUAUGCAAAUCUGAAUAUCAAUGUAGUGAUAGACUUUCAUUAACAGUAAUUAAAAUGUCAUAAAUAGCAGAAUAUCAACAAGGAUUCAAUUAUCAGCAGCAACAUACUAUAAACAUAUCAGCAAAAUACCAUAAUCAUUCAUAAAAAUAUCAACAACAAAAUUAAAGUUAAGUGUUCGAUUGCCAUCAUGGCAUACCCAGCAGGAAAACAAAAACAACAGUUGAUAUUUCUAAAAUGCCCCUGAUUCAUUUUUACUUCCUUUCUUUCCUAAAUUCCUGGUUCCUCCACCUUAACAUUUUUUUUUGAUUAAUUUCCUAAGGUUCUGCCAUACUCUCCCGUUUUGUCAGCAUCAAAUCAAGGGGUUUCUAGUCAUCUGAGGUAUCAGAGGUGUGGAUUCAAUGUCAUAAAAAGGAUUAAGAGGAAAAUGAGAAGGUUCUCGUAAAGGUGAUGAUUUUUUAGGGGAAGGUUCUGGUGAGGAUUUGUCAAAGACAUUGAUUGGAUCUUGAGAAGAAGAUACUAGAGCUAGCUUGGAUUUUUCUGCCAAUCGGGAAUACUUUCUUCUCUUAAGAAAUGCUAUCUUUGUGGCCAUAGUUUCUUGCCCUUGGUUUGUGGCUUGGAUUUUGCUGCAGUGGCUUUCUUCUCUUGUGAUGAUGCAGUGACUUUUUGUUUUUCUUUUUCAGAUUUGGCUUUCAUUCUGGGGGUUGGUGUAGAUGUUGUUUGCUGAGCUUUUUCCUUAACUGCUUCUUUCUUAGCUUGUUCCUCCCUAGCCAUUUGUUGGAAGACAUCCAUAAUGGAUACUUCUUCUGAAUUUGGAGUAGAGGGCUGUUGUUUCUCAGAUCUUGAACCAAUUAUUUCUGUUCCUUGGUCUGACUUGUCCUUGCUCUAGUGUUUAGAUGAUAGAGCCUUAGCUGGUUGAUCAACACCAAGAUGUGAGUCCUCUGUUUGAAGGAUAGGAUUGGCAGUUCUAUAAGUGGAGCCUUCAGCCUGAACACCAUGACUUGCUUCAUGAGGAGCAGACCCUUCUGCUUGCACAGCUGAAUCCUCAACACCUUGCUGUGCUGGUGCAACACUUGGUGUUUUAGAGGAAUCUGUAGCAGUAGGUUUUGAUGACAUUUUUCGUUUUCUUUUCAAUUCUUUUCCUAGUUCAGCAAAUAUCUCUUCAAUCCUCUACAAUCUAGCUCCUUGAUAAGUGAUUCCAUCUAUCCUCAUCAAGAGAUUGAAAAUCAUUUCACUAGAGAAUUGUGAGGAUGGUGCCUCUGUUGGUGCUGGAAUUGCAGAGACCUUGGGUGUUCUAGUAAAUUUCUCUCCAUCCAGCUUAUAACCCAUUUUAGGUAGACUACCUAAGUAGAUAGCCUGGUCUCUACUCUUCACCAUAUCAACUUCAUAUCUUUUUGCCCAUACACCUUUUUUUGCACUAAGGAUGUGAUCACAUUUCCAUAAGGCAGAUUAAUUUUCUCAAGUUUGCAUGCUCAUUUCAUCUUUUCAAUCAUGAAUCUGCCUACAUUCAGGACAACCCCAUUAAAAGCAUAUUCCAUCAGCUAAAGAUCUUGAAGGCUGAUGUAACCUAAACUCCCACUUCUGCCCUGGAUAUUUGCUGCGACAAAAUAGUGCAGAAUUCUUAUUUGGGGAUUGGUUAUCAAACCAGCAUUGCUAUUUGAUGAGUAUUUCUCUCUUCUCCUAGUGAUGAUUUCCCACAAUGAGGAUGGGUCAUAUUUCUCUAGGAACUCAAACUCUCCCACCUCACAUUCAACUUUUAAUAGAUUUCCAAGAUCAUCAGCAGUAACCAUAAACUCUUUACGAUUCAAAAACACAUUUAAUCCAUUUUCAAUGUAAUCAUCAUAAUCGUCUAGUUCUUCUUCUCCUAAAGCUAUACUGGCAUAGAAUUAUUUCACUAAGCUAGCACUGUAGGAUCUAUUCUUAAAUGUGAUAUACUCUUUCAGUUUCAAAUCAUCAAAAUAAUCUGACAUGCUAGUCUGAAUUUAUGGAUUUUCACUAAAACUCUCCCAAUCAAUGUAUUUCCCGCAGGUAAUGGGAGCAUUCUCAAUUUUCUUAAACCUUUCUUCAUGCAUUUUAUUUCUGAAUUUGGAAGAAGAAGUAGUACCUUUCUUUGGUGUAGUAUCCUUGUUCUUCUUUUUCUCUGAUUUAUGCUUUUUUUCUUUUUGUUUUCCAGAUUUCUCAAUCGUUUCAGCAGACACAAAUUUCUAUUUCUUCUUUUACGUUUUAGUUUCUGAUCCUUCUUCCAGUGGUCUUUUUCCUUUCUUCAUUUCAAUAAUUUCUCUAUUCUGAGAGGUUUUUGCCAUUUCUAUUCUGAAGCUUUUUGACUGCGAUUCGAGGUUUUUGGUUUUGGGUAAGUCGGUGUCAGAGGUGAGAAUGUAGAGAGAUUGAGUUUCAGUUUCAGGGGAGAGAAAAUGUAAAGAAAAAGGAAGUUGUCAGCAGUUUUAAUUUAUCACGACCCAAUUUCUCGGGCCAUGACCGACGCAUGAGCUCAAUGAGCAUAGCUCACUAAGCCCAAGCAAGCUUAUCCAUUUACCUUUGCUUAAAUAAUUUAUCAUAUCAUGCAUACACACACACACAUUUUCUCGGGUGUGAACAUAGCCAAAACACAAUGGCAUUAUCGAUAAUAAUAUACAUGCACUAUACCAGUCAUGUAGUUAGCAAUUUACAUUGCAUACACAUAUUCACAUUGUUAGAUUGUAUUCACAAUACAAAAGGACCCAUGACUUCCAACGGAGACAUUUACAAUAAAAGAGAUUACUAUCAAAUGCCAGACACAUACCCAAGAGAUGCACUACGGGGACUCCUCGAUCUGGGGUCCAACAGUCAUCUGAUCUGAAAACAUGAAUUUUUAUAAAACGUGAGUACAAUACUCAGUGAGUGAACAAGAAGGGAACAAGCAUACCAUAAGGAAUGUUUAUCGAAAUCAUGAUGCAUUCAUUUUCUCAAAACCAUGCAAUUGUUUUAGCUCCUUUAAACCCCUCAUGUAAACCCCACAUGAGUAAAUCCCUUUACAAAAAUCCAUGCUCAACUAUGGUACCAAAGAAAUGGGAAAUAUGGCAAAAACCCACAAGUUAGCAAAAUGGACAGAAAGUUUCUCGCUGUAGCGAACUUCAUUCUCGCUGCAGCGAGAACCAGAACAUCAAGGAAAAAGUCUCCUUUUUCCCUUAAAACAAGUCAUCCUGCUAAAAUAACAAUAGCAACAUGUAACACAUGUAAACUUCCAAAUUUCAACAAAACAAAUGCUUACAUAUUUGCAUUUACAACCAUAUACCCAUCAUCAACAUGCACACCAUCCCAUCAUCAUCAUCAUGCACAUCAUCCCAUCAUCAUCAUCUCAUAUGCAACGGCUUAUGCGAUUGUCACUAGGGGGUGGGAGAUCACGAAGCAUCCCCCCCUUCACUCGGCAAGAGGUGCACUUCACUCCGGAUCACGAAGCAACGGAGCAGUCCCUUCCCUCCUCUUCCAAGCUUUUGGGCGGAGAGUCAUACUUCGCCACAGAUCAUACCUAUCAAAGCACUCAUAGGGUGGAAGAUCACGAAGCAUCCAGCCCUAUAAGCUAUGGGGGCAACAACGGCUUAUGUGCACUCCCACUCACACAUAGCCGGGUCAGCAACGGCUUAUAUGCACUCCUACUCGCACAUAGUCGGGUCAGCAACGGCUUAUGUGCACUCCUACUCGCACAUAGCCGGGUUCAAAUCAACAUGUAAAGAAGCAUCCAAUGCAUAUUAUCAUAUUGUGAUAACACAUAAACCAUUGUAUAGCACAUUUUCACAAUAUAAAAUCAUUUUACUAAAAGCUUGUUCCCAAGGUACAUUUUCUAAGACAAGUUGGAUAGAAUCUUUCAUAUUUCCCAAAACAAGUUUGAAAUGCAAGUCCACUCACCGGUAUUAGGAGUAGAAAUACUCCUAUUUUUAGUCCGCGGGUACAGUCCUUUACCUGUAUCCAAUGGCUCACCACUUAGCCAUAAUCCAUGACACAUAUUCCAAUUAAAUUGUGUCUAACAGUCAUAAGCUAUUUCAGGCUCGAUAUAUAUAUGAUAUGAAAUGAAAAAUGCACGGGUAGCCAUCUAGACCCGGUAGUGGCCUAAGUCGAUUUUUCAUCCGAUAAAUUGGCCAAUGCAUCCAAUUUCACUCCAAAUUAAUCCAUUUCUCCUCUAAUACCUUAAUUUACCACAUACCAUUUAAAUAAAGCCAAAUUCAGCAUUAGAACCCUCACAGUUCCUUAUAGAAAAAUUCGGUCAUUUGGUGCACUAGCACCAAAAAUUUUUCUACAUAACCGUUUCACCUUAAUUCAUCAUUUUCCAAGCCAUUUUCCUUGAAAUAAAAACAAUCCCCCAUUGAUAUUCAGCCCUCAUGGUUCGACCAACAAGGAACCCUAGAGAAAUUGAAUAUUUCUUUUGUGUUUUUGUUCAUAACCAUGCUUAACUAUCCCUAAACACUAACAUAGUCUAAAAUCAAAUUAUUCCAACAACAAUUCCUCUUCCAUACCCAUUUUUCAGAAUUGAAUUCAUCAUGAUAACUCAAUAUUCAACCAUGGAAAUCAAGAACAAAAGCAUGGGUAAGCUAGGUAUCAAGGAGAAUUAAAGAAAUUUUAACUUACCUAGCUUGUUUCCUUGAUUUCUUCACUUUUUCUUUGAAUUUCCACCUAGGUUUUCUUGUUUUUCCCUUUGUUCUUCCUUUGUUCUUGUUGCUGGUUGCCUAGGCAGAAUAUGGUGAGAGAAUUGGGGAUUUAAUGGGCUGAUUUCUAUAGAAAAUAAUAAAAUAAUCAAGCAUGCCACGUGUCACAUGCUUAUUGGCCCAAUUUUUUAACUUUUUGACUUUUUCUUCUUAAUUUUCCACCACAAAUAUUCUGGUAUUUAUCCAAUCCUACCACAAUUAAAAUCCCUUGGUCUUGACAAGUGCUGGGGCAAAAAAAUUUACCGAUUUGCCUCCGAGACGAAAAAAUUAUGAUUUUGCCCCUAUACUCCGAAAUGUACCGAAAUCAUAUUAUUUUUACUUUUCAACCUCAAAUAACACUAAUAUUGAUCAAUAUUAACCAAAUGGGGCAAAAAUCGUUUUAUAAAAAUUCCCGUUUAGUCCUUUAGUGGCAAAAUUACCAUUUUACCCUUGUGCUCCAAAAAUAUCGGGAAUCAUAAUUUUUCACUGCUAAACAUCAUUUUAUACUCCAAUAAUCAUAAUUAUAUUUCAUAUAAUUAUUCUUGGUCCAAUGUGAUCAAAUCUUGGCUAGAAAUCUCCAUUUAAUCAUCAAAUGGUAAAAUGACCGUUUUAUCCCUAAUCGGUCAAUUUUCUUAAUGGACUCCAAAUUGGACCUUGAACUCCGAAUCACUAUUUUAAGCCAUUCUGUGGGUUUCAAAAUUUUCAAUUUCCUCUUAAAAUUUUUAUUUGAACUAGUUUAAGACUCGAUUUAACUUAAUUAUACCACUCGAUACAAUACCGUCUUUUAAUCGAGCUUGACAGGGUCUCACAUAAUUUCACUUGGAAAACCGUCUGCCUCCCCCUUAAAGAUUGCCUCACUUUAUUUACUUAAAAAUUUUAAAAUUCCCUCUACAUUUUGGUUAUUCUCCUAGGAAGUUUUUCUUUUUUUCUUUAUUGCCUAGUACACAUUAGUUUAUUUUUUCUUCAUUUAUUUGACUGAGUCUUAUUAUUUAAGACUAACAGAGCACUUUUAAUUGACUAAGUUUCACCUUAGUCGACUAAAUGCAUUCUGUUUUAUGAGCAUAAACCAAGAUUUUUCUCACAAUUUUUGUUGACUAAUCAUACCUAAAUUCCUUCUAAUUUCAUAGAAUCUAUCUUUAUUUAAGGGUUUGGUAAAAAUAUCUGCUAAUUGAUGCAAAGUAUUCACAAAAUCAAUCUUAACAUCACUUUUGACUACAUGAUCUCUUACAAAAUGGUGCUUAAUCUCAAUAUGCUUUGUCCUAGAAUGCUGCACAGGAUUCUUUGAAAUAUUAAUCGCACUUGUAUUGUCACAGUAUAUUGGUAUAUUAUGCAUUGAUAACCCAUAGUCCUUUAGUUGUUGUUUAAUCCAUAAUAUUUGGGCACAGCAACUACCUAGUGAUACAUACUCUGCUUCUGCUGUAGAUAAAGCCACUGAAUUUUACUUUUGCUGGACCAUGACACUAGCAUACUACCUAUAAAUUGGCAUGUUCCACUAGCUCUUUUCUGGUCAGUUUUGCUGCCAGCAAAGUCAACAUUAGAAUAUCCAACCAAGCUAAGAGUUGAUUCUCUAGAAUACCAUAAUCCUAAAGUUUGAGUUUUUAAGAGAUAUCUAAAAAUUCUCUUAACAGCUGUUAGGUGUGAUUCUUUAGGCUGUGACUGAAAUCUAGCACACAAACACACACUAAAUUGAAUAUCUGGUAUGCUUGUUGUUAAAUAGAGUAGUGAACCGAUCAUACCUCUAUAAAUCUACAUUCUUUCCUUUUUCAUCUAGAUCAAGUUUGGUGGAUGGACUCAUUGGUGUUGAGAUUGGUUUCAGCUUUAGCAUAUCGAACUUUUUGAGCAUAUCUUAAGUGUAUCUUUCUUGGUUGAUGAAGAUUCUUUCUUCACUUUGCUUAAUUUGAAGACCAAGAAAGUACUUCAACUCUCCUAUCAUGCUCAUCUCAAAUUCACCCUGCAUUUCUUUUGCAAAGUUUUUACAUAAAGCCUCAUUAGCUGCACCAAAUACAAUGUCAUCCACAUAUAUUUGUACAACAAUUAAAUCAUUUAAGUAUCUUUUAAUAAACAAUGUAGUAUCAAUGCUGCCUCUAUCAUAACCUUUUUCAACCAUAAAUUUUGAAAGCUUCUCAUACCAAGCUCUAGGAGGUUAUUUCAAUCCAUACAAGGCUUUACAGAGUUUGUAAACAUGGUCUGGUUUUUCAAAAUCUUCAAAACCUGGUGGUUGUUGAACAUACACUUCCUCUUGAAUGAAUCCAUUUAAAAAUGCAUUUUUUACAUCCAUUUGGCACAAUUUGAAAUUUAUGAAGCAUGCAAAAGCUAACAACAACCUUAUGGCUUCAAUCCUAGCAACGAGUGCAAAGGUUUCAUCAUAGUCUAUUCUUUCUUCUUGGUUGUAUCCUUAGACUACUAACCUAGCUUUAUUUCUUACUACAUUUCCUUACUUAUCUACCUUAUUUCUAAACACCCAUUUUGUGCCAAAAAUAGGGUGAUUUGAAGGUCUAGGUACAAGUGACUAUACAUGAUUUCUUUUGAAUUGGUCAAGUUCCUCUUGCAUGGCCAUUAUCCAACUUUCCUGAUUUUCAGCUUCUUCAAAGUUUUUAGGUUCAAUUUGUGAUAUGAAGGCUGAAAACUCACAAGUCUCUCUUGUUGCUUUCCUAGUUCUAACACCUUGAGAAAUGUCACCUAUGAUUUAGUUUUGUGGAUGGUCUUUUGUGAAUCUCCAACUCCUUGGAAGGUCACUAUGUUCAGUUUCUGUUCUUUGCAAAUAUUCUAGAGGUAGAGUUUCAUUUUCUCUUCUAGGUGAGCUUUCUUCAUUAUUCUUAUUGUUCUCUAAGCUCAUUUCUUCCAUUUGUUUUUCUAGGAUUUCUACAACAUCAUCAUCAACAUGAAUUUCCUUUUGUAAAGCAUUGGACUCAUAAAAAACUACAUGGAUUGAUUCUUCAAUAGUUAAAGUCCUUUUGUUAAAAAUCCUAUAAGCCUUUGAGUUUAAUGCAUAUCCUAAAAAUAUUGCUUCAUCACUCUUUGCAUCAAACUUUCCUAAGGGUUGUUUUCCAUUAUUCAACACAAAACAUUUACAACCAAAACUCCUAAGGUGAGAAAUAUUUGGUUUCCUACCCUUGUAAAAUUCAUAUGGUGUCUCAGAUAUCAUGGGUCUUAUUGAGACUCUAUUAAGUAUAUAAGCUGCUAUGUUCACUGCCUCAGCCCAAAAAUAUUUUGGUAGGUUAUUCUCACAUAGCAUAGUCCUAGCCAUUUCUUUUAAGGUUCGGUUUUUCCUCUCUACUACUCCAUUUUGCUGGGAUGUUCUAGGUGUAGAGAAAUUGUGAUCCAACCCCUUUUCAUUGAAAAAUUUCUCAAAUUCAUCAUUUUCAAAUUCUCCUCCAUGAUAACUCCUUAUGCUAACUAUGGCUAGUCCUUUUUCAUUCUCUACUUUUCUACAAUGACUUAUAAAAGCUGAUAGAGCAUCAUUCUUAGCAGCAAGAAAAUAAACCCAAAUGUACCUAAAAUAGUCAUCCACUAUUACAAAGCUAUAAGAUUUUCCUCCUAAACUAGUUAUGCUUAUUGGACCAAAUAGAUCAAUGUGUAACAAUUCAAGAGGUCUAGAUGUUGACACAAUUUUCUUAGUCUUGAAGGAUGUUCUAACUUGUUUUCCUAGUUGGCAAGCAUCACAUAUUUUAUCAUUUUUAAAUUUUAAAUCCGAAAGCCCAACAACUAAGUUCUUUCUAAUCAAUUUUGACAUAAUAUGCAAGCUUACAUGUCCUAAUCUCCUAUGCCAUAACCAGCUGUCAUUUUCAGCAUUUGCAACAAGACAUAUUUCACUAUUUAUUUCAAGAUCCUUAAGAAAAACAACAUACAUAUUCUUCAAUCUCUUUCCUAUAAAUGACACAUUGUUUGUACCUAUGUCUAUUACUUCACACUUAUUUGAAUCAAAACAUAUUUUGAAUCCUUUGUCACAUAAUUGACCAAUACUCAAUAAAUUAUGCUUUAAACCCUUCACUAACAACACAUGACUAAUUUGAGUUUGGAAGUACUUACCAACCUUACCUAUCCCAUGAAUUCUACCUUUUGAAUCAUCACCAAAGGAUACGGUACCUCCCUUUUUUUUGUAUAGUUGAGCAAAUAACAUUUCAUCUCCUGUCAUAUGCCGUGAGCAGCCACUGUCCAUGUACCAAGGCUGCUUUUUCUUGAGUUGAGCUCUUAAACAUGUCUCCUUUAAGUGCAGCUCAACCUACAAAAUAAAUUUUCAAUUUUUCUUUAUAGGUACCCAUACUUUGAUAGGUCUUUGAGAGUUAGUUACAAUAUAAGAUCCUUUAGGGACCAAAAUUUUUCUAACUUUCUGCUAGUUACUUCUCUUAAAGCAGUCAUAUGACAUAUGUCCAUGUUUUCCACAACAAUAACAUUUAGAUGAUGCAUAAGCAGAAUUCUUCUUGUGGUAUGCAUUUCUUUUUGAAGAUUUGAGAGCUGUGUUUUCAUCAAACGUUUUUUGUAAAGCUUCUGAUUUAUUUUUUAGCUCUAGCUUUAAAACUUCAAAAUCUGUUUUUGAGUGUUCUAACUCAACUUGCUUGAAAUUUCUUUGCUCAAAUACUAAAUUGAACUCUUGUCUCACUUUUUCCAAAUCAUUUUCAAGAUAUGUAGCCUUUUUCUUUAGAAUCUUGCAUUUUGAAAAAAGUUUUUCAAAUACAUCAUAAAGACUAUCAUACUCAUCUUGUAAAUCAUCCAUGGAAAUAUCACUGGGGGAUGAGGAUACCUCGGUUUCAUCAUCUUGUGCCAUUAGACAGAGGUUUGCUCUUUCCUCAGAUUUUUCAUCUUCAGCUUCAGAGCUUGAUGUGUCACUGUCCGACCAUGCAACUGCCACCAUCGCUUUCUUAGAUUUCUUGUUUUUCUUUAGAGUCUCAUAUUUUAGCAAUGGACAUUCGGACUUGAAGUGACCAGGUUUCUUGCACUCGUAGUAGAUCAGCUUUUCCUUUUUGUUGGAAUCAUUUUUGUUUCUAAUUUUCCAUGAAGCACCUUGAUUUUUUCUAAAUCCUUUUCUAGCUAAUCUCUGGUUUCUUCUGCCCAUAAGCUUUCUGAAUUUUCUUGCAACCAGAGCUAACUCAUCAUCAUCAUCACAUGAUAAUUCUUCCAACUCUUCUUCAAGGAUGUUGGCUUUAAGUGCAAUGCUCUUUUUCUUUUCCUUUGCUUCCCUCUUAUCUUCUUCUUCUUCCUCUUUAAGCUCCAGCUCAUGAGUAAGGAGAGAGCCACAAAUCUCAUCUAAGGUAAUAACAUUUAGGUCCUUGGCCUCUCGAAUUGCAGUUACUUUAGGCUUUUAAUUUUUUGGUAAACUUCUAAGACGUUUUUUGACUAUUUCAUGCUCGGGUAUUGGUUUGCCUAGCUGACUCAAUUUAUCUGUAAUGUUUGUAAAUCUAUCUAACAUGUUAGUGAUGUCUUCACCAGGCUCCAUUUUGAACAUUUCAUAGUUAUGUGUCAAAAGGGCAAUUUUGGACUCCUUGACUUGAGAAAUCCCUUCAUGGAUUAUUCUAAGUUUGUCCCACACUUGUUUAGCUGUUGUACAGCUUAAGACUUUGUUGAAUUCAGUGGGGGUCAAGGCACAAUGCAAUGUAUUGAUGGCCUUAAAAUUUGUUUGAACUUUCUUAGUUUCAACCUCGGUCCAUUCUGACCUUGGCUUAGGCAUCAACUCAUUGGUAACAACAUUCAAGGUUGAGGGAAUAAAGGGUCCAUCAGUUAUGACGUCCCACAUUUCAUAAUCUAUAGCUCUAAUAUAAAUUGACAUCCUAGUGCUCUAAUAAGGAUAGUUAGAGCCAUCAAACAGAGGUGAUCUGUUUGUUGAUUGUCCCUCAGCAACUAUGGAUUUUUGUUGAGCCAUUUGGAUCCUCCCAAAGGGUGUUAGACCUUAAUAACGGGGAACUAGCUCUGAUAUCACUUGUUGGUCCCAAUAAUAUGUGCUAGAAGGGGGGUGAAUAACACAAUUUGGCUAUUUCAAAAAUUAGCUCUAAGUGGGAACAAAUGCAAGUGAAAAGAAGGAAUGAAAAUAAGAACAAAAACAGAGUAGAUAACACAUCAGAAUUUAGAUUGGUUCGAUCCAAGACCUACAUCCACUACCUUGAUUAUCUAACCAAGGAUUUUCCAAACAAUCCACUAGGAAUAGAUGAAAUUCACAAGCUUUCAUCAAGCUUUACAAUGGCUUUUACAAGGCUCAGCCAAAACCUUUUACACUAGUUUUUUUCAGGCUCAACUAUAACCUAACACCUAACUUUUAAAGGCUAAGUUAGAACCUUAACACCUUCAAGCAAACCUAGCUUGAAACAACCAUUUAGAGUGACUCCCUCACUCUAAGAAUGCAAGAGGAUAGGUAAAAGAAAGUACCUAUGAUCACAAGUUGAUCUAAAUGGUACAAGGUUGAGUGCAGAAUACAAAUACAAGAGAUGGGCGUUCGAGUGCAGCAAGGUGUAGAGAAGAUUUUCUGGUUUUUUAGCUCUAUAUGGCUCAAAUCUCCUCUAAAACUUCUAAAAACUAGUUUCUAACUAUUGGGAGACCCUUUUAUACUUAGAGAAACAUCUCUGAUGGGAGUUUGACAGUUUUCUAGCAGUUGGAGACAGUUGGGAGUCAGUUCUAGCUGUUACUCUGUCUUUUAGUGCAGAUUUCAAACUUGCAAGCAAAAUGCUCUUAGUCGACUAACUAAUAUCUUAGUCGACUAAGUCAUCUCUAUUUUCUGCUCCCUGUAUCUGGCAGUUCUGGCAGUGUGCACUUAGUCGACUAACCCAUUUCUUGAUCAACUAAGUUGGUUAUGUCUUGAAAUCCAGAUUUUGGCAGUAGCUUCUUAGUCGACUAACUCACAUCUUGGUCGACUAAGUUGCUUCUAUUUCUCAAUAUUCUUCAGCCCGCCAUUUCUCCAAUUUAAAUUUUAGUCAACCAACAUUCUUCAUUAUUUAACCAAAGUCUUUUCUUUUUGUUGAUCAAUCGUUUUUCUUCAUUUUCAUGAUUUUUGAUAUACACAUUUGAAAGAUUGAUUUAUCAUUUCCAUAUGACUUUUUAUCCUGCACACUUAGAUAGAAAUGUUAGACACAAAUGAAAUGAGAAUGUUUUAUUAUCAUCAAAAACUAAUGGAGCCAACAGAUAUUUGUUCUUUAAGGUUGUUUUUAAGAAUGCUUUUGGAAUGAAAGUAUCAAUACUUUUGGCAAAACUAUCGAUACUUUCAAGACAGAAUAGGCACAAGGGAUAUUUUAUGGCUAAAAUAUCGAUAUUCGCAACUUGUUUUCUCAAAUAUGUGGAUUUUCAACUUGUUUUACCUGUAGAAGCCUUACUACCUCAAAUUAAAACAUAAGUGUGCACAGAAAUGAUUUGGAAAUUGUACGCACAUUCAUGGACUGGCUUUAAACUGAAAUUGCAUAGUUUCAAUGAGAAAUUGCAUAGGUUUUAAUAGGCUUCCUUGUCCAAUUUGCUUGUUCCUUUCUUAUGUCCUUUACUGAGUUUAUGCUUACCAUUUUCAAAUUACAUGUUUUGGUUUCUCAAAUUUGAAGGUAGCUGGAUCGUAGAUUGAGGAGUCUUACCCAUACCCAUAUCCUUCAACUGGUAGGUGUUAUCAUGGCUUUUAGUAAUAGUCAUUUCCACACCUAAAGUAACUUUGUUGUACGAUCAUGGGUCCAUGUGUAUGUGAUAAGAGUCUUGUGCAAACAUUGAUGUAGCCCGAGAAUGGAUUGUGCAUAUAUAUUGUUAGCUCACCAAAUACUGCCACCUUAUUAAUGAAGUAAAACUAAAAAUCUUUAAGGGUUUAAAACUAAAUAUUAAAAAUUUCCUUUAAAAAUAAAAAAUAUCUUUUUUCUCUCUUCAACUCCAUCAUCUUCUUCUUCUCCUCUUCUUCUUCUUUUAGGUUUGAUAAAAUUGUGCAACUUCAAGAGUAAUAAGAUAAUUAAAAUUGUCAAGGUAAAAAAAAAUAAUUUUUUUUGAAGUGCUAAGAACAAGUAUAUGAAAUGUUUUCAAUAACAGCACAAACAAGGGCAGAUUCUCCUUUGUUUUGAGCACCCCUAAAUUAAAAAAAAAUUAUAUCGUAUAAAAUUUUUAAAAUUUUUCAUAUAUUACCUUAAUGGUUCCCUCAAAAUAAUUUUUUAUUUAAUAAUUAAUGCAAAUAAAGAAUAAUAAAAUGAUCCCAUAUGUUUCACCCAACUUUAAAGUUUUUUUGUUUUCUUAUUUCAAUUCAUAUUGCUAUUUUUAUUUAUAUUUGUUUAUUUUUUAUUUCUAUUAUAUUUACUCUUAUGUUCUAAGUUUCUAUAGAUUUUCUUGUCUAAAUUCCUACGAACCAUCAACCAUUUUUUUUUUCUUUUUUUUAUUAUGUCAUAUAUGAGUUUUAUCUUCUUCUUGCUAUGUUUUUUUUUUUUUUUUGGUAUGUAGAUUUUAUUUUCUAUGAUUUAAUUUUUAAAAUUUAAUAAAUUAUUAUGUAGUUCUCAAAAUAUAAGUUGGACUGUUACACUAUUACUUAAAAUUUCAUCAAUGUAUCAAUUUUUUAUUAAUCUUGAUCAUGUAAGACUAAUUUAUCUUGAGUACAUCUUUUUUAUGUUCUUUACAUCUUAUAUUUAGUUAAAAGGAAAUUAUCUUAAAUAUAUAAUCUUUAAAAAAUUCUGAUUAUAUAAAAAGAAAUUAUUGAUCCUUUAUGUCAUAUUUAACUAUUUAUAUUUUAUACAUUAUAAUUUUAUAUUUAAUAUAAUAAGUUUAAAUAGAAAUAAAAUAAGAAUAAUGGAUGUUGACUGCAUUAAUUUUUUUUUAUUUUGAUUAAAGUAUGACUAAGUUGAAAACUGUAAAGCCCGACCUUAUAAAAUACUAGUCAUUACAUACAUGUGAUGAUAGCAUGAUUUCAUACUAGGAGAGUCCCGAAAAAUUUACAAGAGNNNNNNNNNNNNNNNNNNNNNNNNNNNNNNNNNNNNNNNNNNNNNNNNNNNNNNNNNNNNNNNNNNNNNNNNNNNNNNNNNNNNNNNNNNNNNNNNNNNNNNNNNNNNNNNNNNNNNNNNNNNNNNNNNNNNNNNNNNNNNNNNNNNNNNNNNNNNNNNNNNNNNNNNNNNNNNNNNNNNNNNNNNNNNNNNNNNNNNNNNNNNNNNNNNNNNNNNNNNNNNNNNNNNNNNNNNNNNNNNNNNNNNNNNNNNNNNNNNNNNNNNNNNNNNNNNNNNNNNNNNNNNNNNNNNNNNNNNNNNNNNNNNNNNNNNNNNNNNNNNNNNNNNNNNNNNNNNNNNNNNNNNNNNNNNNNNNNNNNNNNNNNNNNNNNNNNNNNNNNNNNNNNNNNNNNNNNNNNNNNNNNNNNNNNNNNNNNNNNNNNNNNNNNNNNNNNNNNNNNNNNNNNNNNNNNNNNNNNNNNNNNNNNNNNNNNNNNNNCAUGUGUCAAGCUUAGGAUAUUUUAUUAUUUAACUAAAAAAUCAGCAUAAAUCAGUCCAUUACUCUCCAAAUAUUUGGCCAAGCAAGGAAGAGAGAGAAAGAGAGGAAGAACAAACCCUAGGUGAGGAAUUUCAAGAGAAAAAGUGUGGAAAAUCAAGGAAAACAAGUGAAAAAGGUAGGAUUUUUCAACUUAAGCUUGAAAUCUAUUUUCCUUGAGCGUUUCUCCAUAUUUUCCAUGCUUAAAUUACAUGUUUUCAUGAUGAAUUGUUGGCUGAUCAAAAUGGGUUAGGAGAAAGAAAGUUGUUGGAUUUAUUUGAUUUUAAGUUAUGUUAGUGUUUUUAGUUAGUUUAGCAUAUUUAGAAACAAAACAACAAGAAAAGAAUUUAUUUUCUCCCACAACCAUUAAUGGCCGAAUUUACCAUGUAUGAGUGAGGAUGAGUUUGAUUUUUAUUUUAGGAGAAUUGGUUAAGAAAUGAUGAAUUAUGAGCCUAGAAAAAUAAUGAGAAUUUUCGGAGCAAAAAUACGAAUUUUUACCCAUUAGGGUUAUUUUCGAAAUUUGCUGCCGAGAUUGAUAAUUUGCACCACACUGAGGGACAUUAAGUCAAUUUGGGUGCAAUUGAGGUAUAGAAACUGAAAAACAUUAAUUUGGGAUUAAAUUGGACGCGUUAGUAAUUUAAUCGGGUGAUAAGACGAAUUAGGUCAAUACCGAGUUUAGAUAGUUACCAGUGCAUUUUUGCAUUCCAUAUUAUGCAUUAAUAGUCUAAAUUAGUUUAAUUUCAAUUUAGUACCAAUGUAGUGAAUUUCUCGACUUUGUAUUGCGUCAAGGUGGUGGAUCCUCCGAUAAAGGUAAGGAAAUUGCAUCCGAGGACCAGUAGACAAAGUGUAUCGAAAGUCUGCAUUCUAGACAUUUUAGUAAACUUAUUGUCAUUUUAAUUAUCUAAGGUGGUUUUUAGCGGAUUUCAUGAAUUCUAUGGAAAAAGGAAUUUAAAAAGGUAAAUUUUCAUGUUUUAUGAAUAAAUGUGUUUCAACGAAAUUAAAUUAUAAAUUGUUUUGAAAUUAAUAAUGAUUUUGAAAAAUAGAGUACACGGAGACUGUUAAUUGUGGCAAUUUGAUUGUUUAAAUUGAUUGACUUAUGAUAAAUCGGGCAUGAUUGGCUAGUUGGCAAUUGUAUUGAAAUACGAAUUGUUUGGUUGCCUUGAAAGAUUGCGAAUUACAAAAUUGCCAUAUCAUGUUAUUGAGUUUUAUUGUAUGUUGAAUUAUAUAUUAAUUAAUCAUUGUAGUAUGGGGUUUCUGUGGACCAGCCUUUUAGAGGGGCACAGUAAACCCCAUUAUAUUCUUACCUCGAACGGAGAGGCGCGUAGGGUAUCUCCUAGGGUAAAGUUUAGAGUUCACUUCACGGUAAAUCACCACGUGAGGGGGAACUCAGCCAACGCCAAGGAACGGCUAUACUUUCAAAACAAAAACAUGAUUUAUGUGAAAUGUGAAUUUUAAUAGCCUUGGCGGUCUCAGAAGGAUGCCUAGGCCAAGGUGUCCUUGAGAAUAGAUUUAUGGCACAAGUCUAGUUUUUAUGAAAUUCAUAAGCCUCUUUACAUAUUUUAAAUGAAAUGUAUUCUAAUGCUGUGACCCAGUUUACGAUGAUUUAUUUUAUUGUCUCAAUGUACUCAACUCUAGAUAUUUAUGAUGAUGUCUGUUUACUCAUUGGGAUUUUAUAAUCUCACCACCCUCCUUUCCACCCAUUUUAGGUUCAGUAUAGGCUGUAGAUAGCUGAUCUCAUCGAGGACUACCGUUGGAUCUUUAUUUUUCAAACCGUAGGUUCACAGUCCUCUUUACUUUUGUUUAUUCAGGGGCCCUCUUGUUAUUGUAAAUUAAAUUAAAUAUUUUGGCUUACUGUAUUUCAGUAUGUAUAAAUUUAUUUAGCUUUUACGCUAUAAAAAUUAUUCACAUAUAACUCUAUAAAUAUUGUUUUAUAAGAAAAUAGAAUAUUUUACUUAAUAUUUCUUUUAUUUUUUUAUUAUAUUCAAAUAACCGUAAUUUCGUUUUAAAUGAAGAUUUUAGACUUUUAAACUCAUUUUGAAUAUGAAUUAUGUGUUUUGUACUUAUAUAUUACGUUUUAACCAGUUUCAAAAAUUUUAAGAAAAAAUGACCAAAAUACCCCUGUGAGACGAAAAUUAAUAUCUUAUUUAUUUUUAGUUGGAACCAGUUUAAAAUCUUUUAGAACACGAUAUUUGACAAUGGUUGCUCACAAGGGAAAUGAGAAACUGAUAGUAAAGCCUUGCAAGGUUUUGGGUUGACAUUCCGGGCAAUGAGUGUCUACUGGGACACCACGGCGGUUGUCACCGGCUCGAGGGGAGUACCAGGUCGUGACAAUUCAAUUGGUAUCAGAGCUUUUGAUUUUAAAGAUAAGAGUUUUUAGUUUUAAAGUUGUUUUAAAAAUUUACAGUUUCAGUGUGGCCCCGGAUUAAAUUAGGUUAGGUCGAAUAGAAUGCAUGCAUUUUCAUAUAGAGCCUAAGGUUACCUAAACUUGCUCGUAUUCUUUUAUAGAUUAUAAUGCCUCCUCGAUGCGAAUGCCCACCUCUCACUAGAUUGGUUGGGAGGGGAAGAGGUCGUUCCCAACGUCAUCAGCCAGAUACAGUAGAAGAGGAAUCAGCUGCAUCCACCAUUCGGGCAGCACCUACUGCUGAGCAGGCCGAUAGUCCUCCACAUCCUCCACCUCCUCAGCCACCUAUUGGUAUUCCCGCCAUGCCUACCGAGGUAGCACAGGCAUUAGCAGCUUUCUUUACCGCAAUGGCUAGUCAAGUUCCACCUAUAGUACCUCCAGCUACUUCUUUAGUUCCACCACCGGUACAGGAUGUAUCUAUUUUCAAGAAGCUAAAAGAGGCUAGACAGCUCGGUUGUGUGUCUUUCAAGGGUGAGUUGGAUGCCACUAUGGCAAAGGACUGGAUUAAUCAUGUUUCAGAGACUCUCUCUAAUAUGGGAUUAGAUGACGACAUGAAGCUGAUGGUGGCUACGAGAUUAUUAGAGAAGAAGGCUCGUACCUGGUGGAAUUCGGUGAAGUCCCGUUCCACAACUCCUCAAACAUGGUCCGAUUUUCUCAAGGAAUUCGAUGAUCAGUAUUUCACUUAUUUUCAUCAGAAAGAAAAGAAGAGAGAAUUUCUAAGUUUGAAAUAGGGGAAUCUAACUGUAGAGGAGUACGAGACUCGUUUUAACGAGUUGAUGUUAUAUAUGCCGGAUCUGGUGAAAUCUGAGUAGGAUCAGGCCAGCUAUUUCGAGGAAGGGCUCCGUAAUGAGAUUAGAGAGCGGAUGACAGUGACUGGUAGGGAGCCACAUAAGGAGGUGGUACAGAUGGCUUUACGGAUUGAAAAGCUCACGAUUGAGAAUAUGAGGAUUCGGACUGAGUUUGCAAAAAAAAAGAAUCAUGGUAUGUCUUCUAGUCAGCCAGUAAAAAGAGGCAAGGACUCAGUGACUUCAGGGAGCACUACUUCUGUUUCCGUGACAUCUCCUCGACCUUCAUUUCCACCAUCACAGCAAAGACCUUUGAGGUUUAGCAGAUAUACUAUGACUGGUUCUGGGAAGAGUUUCGGAGGUUCUGACAGAUGCAGAAAUUGUGAAAAUUAUCAUGUUGGGCUAUGUAGGGGGCCUGCAUUAUGUUUUCAUUGUGAUCAGCCGGGUCAUAUUAGGAGUAAUUACCCACGGUUAGGACGAGCCACUGUAGCUGCAUCAUCUCCACCAGCUCGCAUUGAUAUGCAGAUGAGAGAUUCUUUUGGGUUACCACCGAGACAAGGAAUAGCCAUACGGUCUGGUGUGGAGAGUAAUACCCCGACACAUCCACCUUCGAGACCACAGACUCAUACCUUGACAAGAGUUUUCGCUGUGACAGAAGAUGAGGCACGGGUCCGACUUGGAGCAGUGACAGGUACUAUGUCUUUAUUUGAUAAAUAUGCUUAUGUUUUGAUAGAUUCUGGCUCAGAUGGAUCUUAUGUGAGUACGACAUUUGCAUCAAUUGCUGAUAGAAACCUGUCACCAUUAGAGGGAGAAAUUGUAGUGCAUACCCCUCUAGGAGAACAGUUGAUUAAAAAUACUUGUUAUAAAGACUGUGGGGUAAGGGUAGGUGAGGAAGAAUUUAACGGUGACUUAAUUCCUCUAAAGAUCUUGGAUUUUGAUUUAAUAUUGGUUAUGGACUAGUUAACUACACAUCGAGCGAAUGUGGAUUAUUUUCGAAAAGAAGUUGUUCUUCGAAAUUCGAAGGGAGCAGAGAUUGUGUUUGUAGGGGAACAUCGAGUAUUACUGUCCUGUGUAAUCUCGGCCAUUAAAGCUUCGAAAUUAGUGCAAAAGGGUAUCUUGCUUAUUUGGCAUACAUGAUUGAUACUUCAAAGGGGGAACCUAAGUUAGAGGAUGUCCCAAUAGUAAGUGAGUUUCCUGAUGUAUUUCUUGAUGAUUUACCGGGACUACCUCCUGAUCGAGAGCUUGAGUUCCCUAUUGAUUUACUUCCGGGUACCGCACCUAUUUCUAUUCCUCCAUAUAGAAUGGCUCCGGUAGUGUUGAAGGAACUGAAAGUCCAGUUACAAGAUUUGGUGGAUAAAGGUUUCAUUCACCCUAGCAUUUCUCCUUGAGGAGCACCAGUCCUAUUUGUAAAGAAGAAGGAUGGCACUCUUCGAUUGUGUAUCGAUUACCGUUAGCUGAACCGAGUGACCAUCAAGAAUAAAUACCCUUUACCCCGGAUAGAUGAUCUUUUUGAUCAAUUACGAGGUGCUAUGGUNNNNNNNNNNNNNNNNNNNNNNNNNNNNNNNNNNNNNNNNNNNNNNNNNNNNNNNNNNNNNNNNNNNNNNNNNNNNNNNNNNNNNNNNNNNNNNNNNNNNNNNNNNNNNNNNNNNNNNNNNNNNNNNNNNNNNNNNNNNNNNNNNNNNNNNNNNNNNNNNNNNNNNNNNNNNNNNNNNNNNNNNNNNNNNNNNNNNNNNNNNNNNNNNNNNNNNNNNNNNNNNNNNNNNNNNNNNNNNNNNNNNNNNNNNNNNNNNNNNNNNNNNNNNNNNNNNNNNNNNNNNNNNNNNNNNNNNNNNNNNNNNNNNNNNNNNNNNNNNNNNNNNNNNNNNNNNNNNNNNNNNNNNNNNNNNNNNNNNNNNNNNNNNNNNNNNNNNNNNNNNNNNNNNNNNNNNNNNNNNNNNNNNNNNNNNNNNNNNNNNNNNNNNNNNNNNNNNNNNNNNNNNNNNNNNNNNNNNNNNNNNNNNNNNNNNNNNNNNNNNNNNNNNNNNNNNNNNNNNNNNNNNNNNNNNNNNNNNNNNNNNNNNNNNNNNNNNNNNNNNNNNNNNNNNNNNNNNNNNNNNNNNNNNNNNNNNNNNNNNNNNNNNNNNNNNNNNNNNNNNNNNNNNNNNNNNNNNNNNNNNNNNNNNNNNNNNNNNNNNNNNNNNNNNNNNNNNNNNNNNNNNNNNNNNNNNNNNNNNNNNNNNNNNNNNNNNNNNNNNNNNNNNNNNNNNNNNNNNNNNNNNNNNNNNNNNNNNNNNNNNNNNNNNNNNNNNNNNNNNNNNNNNNNNNNNNNNNNNNNNNNNNNNNNNNNNNNNNNNNNNNNNNNNNNNNNNNNNNNNNNNNNNNNNNNNNNNNNNNNNNNNNNNNNNNNNNNNNNNNNNNNNNNNNNNNNNNNNNNNNNNNNNNNNNNNNNNNNNNNNNNNNNNNNNNNNNNNNNNNNNNNNNNNNNNNNNNNNNNNNNNNNNNNNNNNNNNNNNNNNNNNNNNNNNNNNNNNNNNNNNNNNNNNNNNNNNNNNNNNNNNNNNNNNNNNNNNNNNNNNNNNNNNNNNNNNNNNNNNNNNNNNNNNNNNNNNNNNNNNNNNNNNNNNNNNNNNNNNNAAAAGCUGCAAGAUGGAGAAACUAGUGAGUUUAGACUCAGCGAUGAUGGUACUUUGAUGCUUAGAGACCGAAUUUGUGUCCCUAAGGAUGACCAGUUGAGACGAGCUAUUUUGGAGGAAGCUCAUUCUUCCGCCUAUGCUUUACAUCCCGAAAGCACCAAGAUGUAUCGGACUAUUAAAGAAAGUUAUUGGUUGUUGGGUAUGAAAUGAGACAUAGCAGAGUUUGUAACGAAAUGUCUCACAUGCCAACAGAUUAAGGCGGAGCAUAAAAAAUCGUCAAGUACUCUUCAACCUUUACCGAUUCCUAAAUGGAAGUGGGAACAUGUGACUAUGGACCUUGUAUUGGGUUUGUCGCGGACACAAAGUGGGAAGGAUGCUAUUUGGGUGAUUGUGGAUAGAUUGACUAAGUCCACCCAUUUCUUGGCUAUCCAUAGCACGUAUUCUAUUGAGAAGUUGACAAGACUUUAUAUAGAUGAGGUUGUGAGAUUGCAUGGAGUUCUAGUUUUUAUUGUGUCAGAUCGAGACCCUCGGUUUACUUCUCGAUUUUGGUCGAAAUUUCAGGAAGCUCUUGGAACUAAAUUGAGAUUUAGUACUGCCUUUCAUCCGCAGACAGAUGGUCAAUCUGAGAGAACUAUUCAAACCUUGGAGGAUAUGUUACGGGCUUGUGUCAUUGACUUUAUUGGGAGUUGGGACAGACAUUUGCCAUUGGUGGAGUUCGCGUAUAAUAACAGUUUUCAGUCUAGUAUUGGGAUGGCACCAUACGAGGCUUUGUAUGGAAGGAAGUGCCGAACUCCGCUCUGUUGGGAUGAAAUAGGUGAGAGAAAAUUGGUGAAUGUGGAAUUGAUUGAUCUGACAAAUGAUAAGGUCAAGGUUAUCCGAGAACGGUUAAAGACAGCUCAAGAUAGGUAGAAGAAUUAUUCGGAUAAACGAAGGAAAGAUUUGGAGUGUGAAGUUGACGAUAAAGUUUUUCUUAAGGUUUCUCCUUGGAAAGGUAAUAAUUUGAAAAUUCCAAGUAUUAAAUCUUAUUUGAUUAUGCUAUUGUGAUAAUUUGUGGUAUUUAUUGGAUAAUGAAAGAUGUGAUUCGAUUCGCGAAGAAGGGAAAGCUCAAUCCAAGAUACAUUGGACCCUUUCGUAUCAUUGAAAGGAUUGGGCCAGUGGCUUACAGACUUGAAUUACCCCUAGAGUUAGAUCGGAUUCCUAAUGUCUUCCACGUCUCGAUGUUGAAAAAGUAUGUUCCCGAUCCCUCUCACAUUUUACAGACACCUCCCAUUGAGUUGCAUGACGAUUUGAAGUUCGAGGUGCAGCCUGUACAUAUUCUAGAUCGAAAGGAUCAAGUGCUAAGGAAUAAGAGCAUUCCAAUGGUGAAAGUAUUGUGGAAGAAUGCUCGAAUGGAAGAGAUGACGUGGGAAGUCGAGGGCCAGAUGAGAAACCAAUAUCCACAUCUUUUCUUCGAAUCCGGUAAGUGAAAUUUUGAGGUCAAAAUUUUAUUUUAAAGGGGGUAGUGCUGUAAAGCCCGACCUUAUAAAAUACUAGUCAUUACAUACAUGUGAUGAUAGCAUGAUUUCAUGCUAAGAGAGUCCCGAAAAAUUUACAAGAGUCGGUAUUGUACUAGGGAUACAACAAAGUUAAUUUAAUCCUCGAACUAGAUCAAAUAGGAAUUUUAAGGUGAGAUUAAGAUCGUCACAAUCCAAGGAUGACUCAAAAUGGUAAUUCAGAGUUUGAGGAUCAAUUUGGAGUCGAAUCGAAGUUUUCACUAUCCAAGGGAAAAAUGGUCAUUUGCCACCUGGGGACAAAAUAGGAAUUUUAGAAAAAAAUUUUUGACCUCAUUUGACUUAUUGGAGUAUAAUUUGACUUAUUGGAGUAUGAUUUGAGGUUUAGAAGUAAAAAAUUUUAAUUUCGGUAUAAUUUGGAGUAUAGGGGUAAAAUGGUAAUUUUGCCAUCCCAGGGGCAAAAUUGUAAUUUUCCACUACCAGGAUAUUUUUCCAGCACAUUGUCUUCCUUUAUCCUCAUUUUUGACCUUUGACUAAUCAUGUGGUGGAGAUAAAAUGUUUAAAUUUUUAAAAUUUUAAAAAUGGACCAAUAAGAAAAUGCCAUGUGUCAAGCUUAGGAUAAUUUAAUAUUUACCUUAAAAAUCAGCAUAAAUCAGCCCAUUACUCUCCAAAUAUUCGGCCAAGCAAGGAAGAGAGAGAAAGAGAGGAAGAACAAACCCUAGGUGAGGAAUUUCAAGAGAAAAAGUGUGGAAAAUCAAGAAAAACAAGUGAAAAAUGUAGGAUUUUUCAACUUAAGCUUGAAAUCUAUUUUCCUUGAUCAUUUUUCCAUAUUUUCCAUGCUUAAAUUACAUGUUUUCAUGAUGAAUUGUUGGCUGAUCAAAAUGGGUUAGGAGAGAGAAAGUUGUUGGAUUUAUUUGAUUUUAAGUUAUGUUAGUGUUUUUAGUUAGUUUAGCAUAUUUAGAAACAAAACAACAAGAAAAGAAUUUAUUUUCUCCCACAACCAUUAAUGGCCAAAUUUACCAUGUAUGAGUGAGGAUGAGUUUGAUUUUUAUUCUAGGAGAAUUGGUUAAGAAAUGAUGAAUUAUGAGCCUAGAAAAAUAAUGAGAAUUUUCGGGGCAAAAAUAUGAAUUUUUACCCAUUAGUGGUAUUUUCAUAAUUUACUGUCGAGACUGAUAAUUUGCACCACACUGAGGGACAUUAAGUCAAUUUGGGUGCAAUUGAGGUAUAGAAACUGAAAAAAAUUAAUUUGGAAUUAAAUUGGACGCGUUAGUAAUUUAAUCGGGUGAUUAGACGAAUUAGGUCAAUACCAAGUUUAGAUAGUUACCAGUGCAUUUUUGCAUUCCAUAUUAUGCAUUAAUAGUCUAAAUUAGUUUAAUUUCAAUUUAGUACCAAUGUAGUGAAUUUCUCGAUUUUGUACUGUGUCAAGGUGGUGGGUCCUUCGAUAAAGGCAAGGAAAUUGCAUCCGAGGACCAGUAGACAGAGUGCGUCGAAAGUCUGCACUCUAGACAUUUUAGUAAACUUAUUGUCAUUUUAAUUAUCUAAGGUGGUUUUUAGCGGAUUUCAUGAAUUCUAUGGGAAAAGGAAUUUAAAAAGGUAAAUUUUCAUGUUUUAUGAAUAAAUGUAUUUCAAUGAAAUUAAAUUAUAAAUUGUUUUGAAAUUAAUAAUGAUUUUAAAAAAUAGAGUACACGGAGACUGUUAAUUGUGGCAAUUUGAUUGUUUAAAUUGAUUGGCUUAUGAUAAAUCGGGCAUGAUUGGCUAGUUGGCAAUUGUAUUGAAAUACGAAUUGUUUGGUUGCCUUGAAAGACUGCGAAUUACAAAAUUGCUAUAUCAUGUUAUUGAGUUUUAUUGUAUGGUGGAUUAUAUAUUAAUUAAUCACUGCAGUAUGGGGUUUCUGUGGACCAACCUUUUAGAGCGGCACAGUAAACCCCAUUAGAUUCUUACCUCGAACGAAGAGGCGCGUAGGGUAUCUCCUGGGGUAAAGUUUAGAGUUCACUUCACGCUAAACCACCACGUGAGGGGGAACUCAGCCAACGCCAAGGAACAGCUAUGUUUUCAAAAUAAAAACAUGAUUUAUGUGAAAUGUGAAUUUUAAUAGCCUUGGCGGUCUCGGUAGGAUGCCUAGGCCAAGGUGUCCCUGAGAAUGGAUUUAUGGCACAAGUCUAGUUUUUAUGAAAUUCACAAGCCUCUUUACAUAUUUUAAAUGAAAUGUAUUCUAAUGCUGUGACCCAGUUUACGAUGAUUUAUUUUAUUGUCUCCAUGUACUCAACUCUAGAUAUUUAUGAUGAUGUCUGUUUACUCAUUGAGAUUUUAUAAUCUCACCACCCUCCUUUCCACCCAUUUCAGGUUCAGUAUAGGCUGUAGAUAGCUGAUCUCAUCGAGGACUACCGUUGGAUCUGCAUUUUCCAAACCGUAGGUUCACAGUCCUCUUUACUUUUGUUUAUUCGGGGGCCCUCUUGUUAUUGUAAAUUAAAUUAAAUAUUUUGGCUUACUGUAUUUCAGUAUGUAUAAAUUUAUUUAGCUUUUACGCUAUAAAAAUUAUUCACGUAUAACUCUAUAAAUAUUGUUUUAUAAGAAAAUAGAAUAUUUUCCUUAAUAUUUCUUUUAUUUUCUUAUUAUAUUCAAAUAACCGUAAUUUCGUUUUAAAUGAAGAUUUUAGACUUUUAAACUCAUUUUGAAUAUGAAUUAUGUGUUUUGUACUUGUAUAUUACGUUUUAGCCAGUUUCAAAAAUUUUGAGAAAAAAUGACUAAAAUACCCCUAUGAGACGAAAAUUAAUAUUUUAUUUAUUUUUAGUUGGAAACAGUUUAAAAUCUUUUAGAACACGAUAUUUGACAAUAGUUGCUCACAAGGGAAAUAAGAAACUAAUAGUAAAGCCUUGUGGGGUUUCAAGUUGACAUUUCGGGCAAUGAGUGUCUACCGAGACACCGCGGCGGUUGCCACGGGCUCGAGGGGAGUACCGAGUCGUGACAAUUCGAUUGACAAAUUCUUUAAAAGAAAAUAUAUAAAUCGUCCAAAUGAUCCUUCUACACUUGAGCCAUCAAGUCUCAAUGCUUCAAAUCAUAAACCAGAACAAUGUAAAUCAAAACGUCCAAGACUCAAUUCUAAAGACAUGGUUGUUUUUUCAGUACAUAAUUAAUAAUUAAUGAAUUUGAAUCCAGGAAACAUGGUCGGGCAUCUAAAGGACUAUUGUAAGUCUUUCUUUUCUUGAUUUACAUGUUAUAUAAAAUUAUUUUAUAUUAUUAAUCUUUUGAUUGUUGGUUAAGGUUUUUUUUUUAAGUUGAAAAAAUUUCUCAAAGCCAACUACCAUGUUAAAGUUUAUGAAAGAUAAAAAAGAGAAGUACACUAAGAAGGGGGACAUGAACCUUACCUCUAAAAGUACAUGAGAUUGAAAAGUGGUAAGUCCUAAAGGGAGUAUUACUUCCUUUGUAUAAAAUCUAUUAAAGCAUGAGCUAAAUACUAUUACUUGCUUACAACAGAUGAAAUAAAUAAGGGGCACUACUCCCUUACAUAUAUUUAAAUCUAACAUAAGGUAAAUUAAUUCUAUCUAACUUUAAGAUACCAUUUAGCUCACCUUCGACAUUAAAGAACACCUUAAGCCCUAGAUGUGAAUAGCCUUGGUUGUAGAGAAAGUUUGCAACUUGGUUGCCCUCACGAUAGAUAUGAGUGAUUCGGUAAGUAAAAUGAUGUAAACAUUUUCAAAUGGAAGAUAAGAUAAAUAGAAUGUCAUAUGAUCCGGUACUCCCUUCCAAUAUCAUGUUUACUACCACCUUGGCAUCCAUCUCAAUCUAAAGUUUAGAAGUAUUGUGGUCACGGCAUAGCAGAAGUCCUCUUUGAAGAGUGAACAAUUCAGCUUUUAAAGAAUUAUGAGGUCUUAAAUUUUCAAAGAAACCAAAGAGAAGCAUACAUGUAUGGUCACGUGUGAUAUCUCCCCUUGUCGCAUUUUGAAAACUGUUUUUCAAGCUCCCAUCCACAUUCAACUUGAUUUCAUCAAGGCAUGGCUUCAACCAUCUAAUAAUUUAGGGUGGCAUGGGUGGUUGAAUAGGAAAGUUGAUAUUCCACAACUUUGCUAUUUGCAUAGCACCUUUCCAUUACCAUAUGUGCAUUUGAUUUCUUUUGUGAUGCUGAAUCAACCUUCAUUAUUCGCCAUAUAACACAUUGGGGAUAGACUCCCAAUUGCCUAUGUUUAGCAUCAUUUCGUUUAACCCAUAAGAACCAACAUAUAAAAACUGGAAUCAAAACCAAAAUGUGAUUGUACUUUGUAUAAUCUCUCGAAUAAAACCAUGCCUGGUGUGCCACUGAACCUUCCUAAAAAACAUGCAUUAAGGUUUCUUCAGUAUAACAACAUUAGCAUUUUGAUGCUAGCUGAAACCGCUUGGACUUUAAAUGGAUUUCAAUAGGUAACCAUCCUUUAAGUACUUGCCAAAAAGAGAAUGAAACUGUGAGUGGGAUGCUUCUAUGCCAUACUAAUUCGAAAGCAUUACUUACAAGUUGUUUUUGAUGAUCUAUCUCCCAAACACUAUUGGUAAUAAACUCACCAUCUGAAGUAGGGACUUAAUAUGCAACAUCAUCAAAAGAUUUUUCAAAGGGAAUAUUGGCUAUGUCUUCCACCAUAAAUUCAGGAAGAAAUGCUUUUAAUUUGUCCACAUCCCAUUUAUUAUUAUCAUAAAAAUAGCAUACUUUAAUCAUAAAAUGUAAUUGGGAAGGGAAAAAAAUUACCAAUAGUUGUUCACCCAUCCAACAAUCAUGCCAAAAGAAAAGUUCAGUUUUUCCUAUCUUCCAUCGAAUGUCUUCUUCAGCAAUUUGGCAACCACUCAUCAAACGCUUCCAUAUGGGAGAAUCAUGGAUCUUAACUUUGACUUGCAUUGGAAUUUAAUGACCAUAAUAUUUACCAUUAAUGAAUUGUGCCCAUAAGCUAUUUGAAGUCUGAAACCACCACCAAAGUUUAAGAUUGAAUGCUUCAAACACAUUCAUUAAGCUACGAAUAUCAAGACCACCUUCAUUACCAAGAUAACAAUUUUUUUUCCAAGUAGCCCAAUAUAUAUGUUUGGCAGCGUAGAAUCUCCUCAAAAGAAGCUAUUAAAUAUUCAUUUAAUCUUCUUAACUACACAAAGUGGAGGCUUUAGCACUUAAAGCAUAUAUAAAGACAUAGAAGAUGAGACACUCCUUACUAAAGUUAUCCAUCCUGCUGGAGACAAAACCUUAUUUUCCCAUCAAGAAAUUUUUUCUCUAAUUCUCGAUAUAAGGGAAUCAAAUAAGAUUGAAUUUUUUGGUCCCUUGUAUAGUGGCACCCCUAAGUAAGUAAUUGGCAGCUUCUUGCGAGCGAAACCCAUGGCAAAGUGAAUUAUCUGCAAUUUAGAAUUAGCAAUUUUAUUGCUAGUAAUAAAACAACUCUUCUGUUGAUUAAUUUUUUUGUUCAGAGACCAUUUUAUACUCUUAAAAAUUCUGAAUUUUUCUCAAGGCUAAAUGAUUCCCAUUGGUAAAAAUAAUUAUAUCAUUAGCAAAAAAUAGAUGACUUAUUACCAUAAAAUCGCCUACCGAAUAAUGUAAUGAAGAAUAUUUUCAUAAAGAGCAUUUAAUCCCCUAGACAAGCCACCAAGAUAAAAAGAAAUGGAGAUAUGGAGUCACCUUGUGUCAAACUUUUCUCAAAUUUAAAAUAUCCCAUCGAAGCCCCAUUGAUCAGUAAUGAGAACCAAUAGUUAAAUAUGCAUCUCUAAAUCAUGUUAAUCCACUGCUCAUUGAAUCCAAGUUUUCGCAUCAUAGAAAAUAGAAAAUUCUAACUCAAACGAUCAUAUGCUUUCAUCAUAUCAAGCUUUAAAGCAAUAUUUCCUUCUUUGGCUUUUUGAUCAAUUUUUUGGAUUAAUUCUUCAACUAAAAGAAUAUUAUCAUUGAUAAGCCUGCCACCCACAAAUCCAUUUUGAUUUUCUAAAAUUAAUUUUGACAAAAUUUUUGCUAAUCGAUUAGCCAACAGUUUAGUAACUAUUUUGUUCAGGAUAGUACAUAAAUUGAUCGAAUGAAACUCACUCCACUUCAUUGGAUUAAAAGUUUUUGAUAACAGAACAAGUGUUGUAGAAGUUACCCCUUUUGGUAACAACUGUCCGUGGAAAAAAUUUAUCAUUUCAACUAAUAAAUCGUCUAAUACGAUUUUUCAACAAUGCUGAUGGAUUGUUAGUUAAGUUCAAUACAUUUGUUUUUAAAAUUUUUAACUCUGAUUCCUCUGUCUUUGACCCCCAACAAAAGUUAGCUAAUUUCGCCUUUGAACACAAACAUCAGAUAUUCUAAUGAAAUCCAGCACGGUUGCUAAACUUUUCUAAUAAAUUUUUCGUUGCUCAUGGUAAUUUAAUCAAGAACUUAAAUUAAUAAGAAUCUUCAACUCUAGCUUGCAAAUCAACUCAACAAUUGUAUCUUAACUAGAUAAACUCUUGUGCGGCAUUAUUGGGUUUUCCAUUUGUAGCCUGAAUAAGAUUUGCUUAUUUGCAAGCACAAGUUAUGUCCUUCAUUUAUUUAAUCUAAAUAAGCCAUAGGGAGAGAAUUUACAUGUAUCUGUAUAGGUAAUUAUGGAAAAUUUUAAAUGUGGUAGAUUUAUGCUCAAGAUAGCAUUUUGGUACUUUUUUUUUCACCCCUUCUCCGUUGCAACCAUUAACAUUAGAAUUAGUCAAUGCUUAGAAAUUUUAUGCCCCAAGUUGUAAAAAAAAAAAAUACUUUACAUAUUUUGCUAUUAUGAGCAACAUAUCUAAGCAAAUGUUACAUCAAUUGGCCUUUCAAAAAAAAAAACCAGGUUGUGAGUCUUUUUUAAUUGACUUACACUUGUUCUUAUAUAUAGAUAGCAAAUAAUAUUUCAGUGUUUUAAGUCAGUUAUAAAAAGACUUACAACCUUGUUCUUACAUAUAGAGAUUCGUCGAAGAAGAAGAUAGAGAUCAUUCAUUGAAAUUAAUCUUCACUCAAUGAAGAAGGAAACUGAGGUCUAUGUGACAGGUGCAAUACGUUACCUAGGUUCUUCCUUGAUCAAAAACCUGCUAGAAAAAGGUACACUGUCCAUGCAACAACAAGGAAUUUGGGUCAGUAAAGGAAAGAAUUAUUUUUUUUAACCUUGAAAUUUUUAAUUAUAUUAUUAUUCUUAAAAUUGCACAAGUUUGUCAAAUUUAAUUUAAUGGAAGAAAAAGAGGUUAAUGGAGUUGGAGAGAGACAGAAAGAGGAAAACAAGAAAAAUCAGUUGUGAUGGAGUUGGAGAAAGAAAAAAUUAUGAAUAUUUUAAAGAAACUUUUAAUAUUUAGUUUCAAAUCUCUAAAGCUGUUUAAUUUUAGGUCAUUAACAAGGUAAUAACAUUUGGUGAGUUAACGGUGUAUCAAAUAUAAACACAUAUUAAAAAGUCUUUGAACUAUUUAAGAAAAUUUAAAUUAGUCAUUAUUUUUCUAUUAUAUCCAAUCAAGGCCAUUGUAACACCCCUGAUUUUUUGAUGUGGCCUAAAUGUGAUGUUGGCCAAGUGAUUUGAUGAGUGAACUUAAUGUAUAUGCUUGAGGAGCAUGCAUAUGAGCUAUUGUGGUCUAUAGAGAAACAUUUUGAAUUUCAGUGUACAUUGAGGAUUCUAAUGAUAUGAUGAAAUAGCUAAGCCAAUUGAUGAGCUAAAUUGAAUUUUUGGUGUAUAUGUUUAAGAGUUUCAGUGCACAUUAAGGAUUCUAAUGAUAUGAUGAAAUAGCUAAGCCAAUUGAUAAGCUAAAUUGAAUUUUUGGUGUAUAUGUUUAAGAGUUUAAGAGUAUGCCUAUGUCCAUAGAGUAAUGAAUAUGAUAAAUGAGCAUUUGAAGGCUCAAAAUAAUGUUGUGCAUAUAUUUGGCACAUGAAUGGUAUAGUGCAUUGUUUGGCACUUUGAUAAAUAUGACACUUAAUGUAAAUUAUGCCAAGCUUUGAUUUGUAUACUAUGUGACAUAGAGCAUAAUGAGGAUUUGAAUCUGUGUGAUGAGUACAUGCUCGGAUAUUGAGCACUCUUGAUGAGUUGAGAUGGGAAUGAUAAUUGUGGUACUUAAACCACUAAUCUUAGAGCUUGAAUAUGGUGAACUAUAUGGUUUGAAGACUAAGCGAGAUUCUGAAUUUGAUAAUAUUUUUGAAUGUUUAUGUGUAAAAUUUCAUGCUAUAUGAAUGAUUUGAAGUGUUUUAUGAGUGGAAAUGAAUUAAAGAACUUACGAGAAGUGAUUUGAGAGGUUAAAUUUGGAUUUUUGGAAAGUUGGAGUGUAGGGAAUGCACAUUCUGGGCAAAAUGUAUCGAGACAUUAGUAAAUAUAUCGAUACAUUCUUGGCAGGAUGAACAAUACAAGGCCUACAUGAGGAAUUGUAUUGAUACAUUCAAGAAUAUAUCGAUAAAUUUGGCCAAAGAUGAACAUGUAUCGAUACAUUGUUCAAAUGUAUUGAUACAUUUGAAGCAAAGAGCACCCAAGACCAUUAUCCCUGAAAUGUAUCGAUACAUCACCCUAAUGUAUCGAUACAUUUAGUCUAAAUAUGGGCAAAUGUAUCGAUACCUUGCCAAAUGUAUCGAUACAUCACAAAGGGAAGGCAAAAAUAAAAAGAGGUUUCAGGCAUUCCUCCUUUUUAAAAAUAAAACCCAUUCUCUCUUUUUCUCUCUUUACCCCAUACGAAACAUUAAGCCCCUAAAUGACAUUUGGAGCCUAUUUGAGCUAGAUCCAAGCUUGGGAAACAAUUCGGAGGCAAGAUUAAGCGUUUUUACCAAUUGAUUUUCAAUUUAAUUAGUUAAUAACCUCGGAUCUAAAUAUUUUCAAAUUUGGUCAAACUCUCUCCCAUUGAGUUUAUUAGAGAUUUAGAGCCCAUAUUUGGGCAACCCAUCUUCUAAGGUAAGGAUUUAGCUCAUUUGUUAAAAGGAUGAGCAUGUAUAUUGAAUUUGGGUCUUUUUGAAAAUUUAGGAUAUUGUCGAAAGUUAUGAAAUAAUUAUGAUUUUGAUGUUUUAAUGUGUCUGAGGGGAUAGUUGAGCUAUUUUACUCAUUGGUGAGCUAGAGGACGGUUGGAGGCUAAAGGUUGAGCUUGAUUGUUGUGUGCCUCCGAUUAUCAAGGUGAGUAGGAUUUAAUUAAAUACAUGUGAUACAUUUCACAUAAUGUAUGUGUUGCCAUGGUACUUAAAUGUUGUGUGUAUGCCAAGAUGAGAAUGCCUAGGCUAGAGAAAUAUGUGUGUGUGUGUGUGUGUGUGUAUGUUUGCCUAAAGGUAUGUGCCUACGCUAGAGAACAAUUAUGGUUGUGUGCCUAAAUGAAGAUGACUAGGCUAAUUAGUUAUCUAAGAUAGGAAAUUGUGCUCGUGUGAUCUAUAGUGAGCCAUAAAGUGACAUUGUGAUGGAACCCAUAGUAUGUAGGACCUAGAGCAAGUGGCUUACACAUGGUGCGAUAUGAAUUAUGUAUUAAAGAUUGUGCCAAAUUGUGAUGAAUGGAUUGCUUAAUUAGGUAUAUGGGCAUGAUAUGUAUUUGGGUUAAUGGCACAGCGAUCAAGGUGAUGUUAAGUAUGUGAGGUCAAAGAGCCAUGAUUGCUUAUGGAUAUGAUUUGUGCAUGAAUGCCCAUGUAUUUGUGGUUGAUUUAAGGAUAUGCAUAAGGCUGUUAAGCCAUGUUUGAUACAAUUAAAUAUGAUGAUUGCCCAUGUGUGGUUAAGGGCACAAGGGCCUAUGGAGUGAUUAUGUUUUGUUUGAUGAUGCCUUAGAGAUUUGAAGGCACUUAGAAUUAUACCGAGCUUAGAGAUGACUGAAGCACAUUAAAUUUGAAUAUGAUUUGAUGUGGACAUAUGGAACGUCACAAGCACGAUGGCCUAAUUUCUGGAUAUGUGUUCUAUUAAAGGGAUAAAUUUUGGUCAUUGAUUUGACUUGAGAUGGAGUGGAGUUCCACACCUUGUGAUUAUGUGUGUGCUUGCAGGGAUGGUGGCACUAAUCCUGCUUGUGAUUUCUGCCUGCAGUGCUUUGAUACCAUCUAUUGAGAAUACUCCGGGUGAUACAGACGUCAGGAGAUUUUACUCUAAUUGAUGAUUUGAUUCCUUGCCAACUGCUUCGAUGCCGUGCCUGAUCUGUUCUCCACUUUUACUUUGGCACGCGCGUGAUAUGUUUCUCAACCCAACAGCUUUGUCCUGUGCGUGAUUUGUUUCUCCACCGAUUGGUCACUCAUGCGUGAUUUGAUAAUGUCCAGAGUAGGACCACUCAUUUGAUUCGUUUGACUAUAAUGACAUGCAUCGAGUAUGGCAUGAUCUGAUUUGAAAUAUGAAUAUGUGGUGACUACUAUGAAUGACAUUUGAUGAAAUGCUUCGGAAUAAGCAAUUAUUUGUAUAUGGAAUUUGAGGUUGGGCUCGACAACUAAGGUGUGCCAAUGAAUCCUAGUUUAAUGAUAACGACUUUAAAGGUAAGCCUUGAUUUGAUGUGAGGACACAAAACUUGUGAAUUGUGGAUAUAAUAUGCCGUUAAGAUGUGAUCUGGUAGAAUUUAAUAAGAUGAGUUGUGCAUGUUGGAUAUUAAGAUGAUCCUUAUACCUUUUGAAUUAGAGAUGUUUGAAUAUGAAUAUAUUAUGGCUAGAUAGGCCUAGAUAUAUAUAACAUAUAUAUGAAAUAUUAUGUUAUGACAAUAUCCCCUCACUGAGAAUUAGUUGAUUCACCCUUCUGUUGUACCAUGUGCAUAUAAGAGAAGCUAUGGGGUUACGUGGCAAGUGUUGCCAAUUUGACUAACAUGUAAUUAGCAUCCGGUAGGUCUCCUUCCCAACGUAUCACUCUGUUGAGUCUAUAUGGGCCUUCUGCUUUCCAGUUUGGUUAAUUUGUAAAAUAUGUUAGGCACAAUGUGCCAUUUGAAUUGUAUAAAGGUUGUUAUGUACGAACCUGAUUUGAUGGCCAACGUAUGGCUUUAUGAAUAUUUAUGUGGAUUAUAAACCAGGGAUAAUGUAUCAUAUUUGAAUUUUAUUAUGAAUAUUUGAUUAUUAAAUCCCUUGGCUAUAUGACAUAUGAUUUAGAACUUUGAGGCUUACUCAAGUCUGUUGGGC
rnacentral:lncRNA from 1 species